rnacentral:lncRNA from 1 species
CCAAAGUUGUUUUCCCGAUACCUCCCAUCCCUACGAUUGAGACAACUUCUAGUUCCCUUCCUCCUCUAGCAAGUUGAUCCAGCAUCAUCUCAAAUUCAUUUUCACGGCCAACCAUUAUAUUCUCGGGCUGCUCAACAUCAUGUUCAGGUAAACUGACAAGUGAGCUAGUUUGUGGUUUUAGAUCUUUCAUGCUGUCCGAUGCUGCCAUCCACUGUUUCACGGUGGAAUCAAUGCAUUCUAGUGCUUGUUCCAAGACGAAAAAAAUCUCCCACAUAGCCCUGCUUCUUUCCUCCAAAUUCUGUGCUAAAAAAACAUUUCUUGAUUCCGAGUCAACCAUAUCUUCUGUUGUGUAUGCUACCUCUACGAUUUCAACUUCCAAGAUUGUUAACUCCUCAUGAUCGCCCGUUAUAUUGCAGGAAUUCUCCAGAAUAGUUCUUAAAGAUUCGAGCUUUUCAUAAAACGGUUGCAAAUCACAUCCAGUAAGUUCCAUUGAUUGAUGUAUGGUUCUCAUAAGGGAAGUAACAGCAGCAUAAGCCAUAUAUCCAAAAAAUAGAAAUAUCUCUCAGUAUGAAAAUGGACAAAUUGCCACAAGUCAUGUAAUUUUUCAGUUUUUAAGAAAACAGAAAAUGCAAACUUCUUUCUUUUACUAGGCUAUUUCCAUCACAUUUCCAGCUAGGUCCACCAACCUUAUCAUCAUGUAGACAAAAGCAGAGACCAAAGUUUAAAAAAAGAAAAAGAAAAAAAGACAGGAUUCUAACUGGAAAAAGUUGAAAAAAUUGUGACCAUUCAUUAUUAUACCUUACACUUAUCUAUUCAUGAAUAUAAGUAGGGAAAAGGGCCUCAUUUACCCUGAACUUUAUGAUUUGGAGCUGAUAUACCCUUCGUUUAAAAAAUGGCCCAUAUAUGCCCCUGCCGUUAUAGAAAUGGCUCAUAUAUGCCCUUUUACUUAACAGACCAAUAUUUAAUAAAUUAAAAAUUCAUUUUUUUAUGCUUUAAUUUGAGAAAAUGCCACGUGGCUCUUAAAAUACCCCACCCAAUAACUUUUCAGCAACCCGACCCAAUGGAAACAAGAAAACCCCAUCCACUUAAAUAAACCUAGCCCAUUUCAUUCUAUGGUCUCCACUCUCCACGCUUGACAUGAAAAAAAAUCAAAAACUUGUUAGGGUUUCAGUGAGCUCUAAACUGGUGUCAAUCAAUCUCAAUAAUGUUCAAAAUCUUAGGUAAGUUUCGAUUAUUUUCUUCCCUUACUUUUAAGGAUCUUUGGUGUUAAAAAUAUAGGAUAAUAUGUGAGAAAAGUGUAACUGAGUUUACCUAUGUGCUUUUUUCCCUUGACAUUCUGUCCAUGGAAGGUUUAUUUUCUUACUUUAAUACAUGAGUUUAUCUCUUUGUAUGCAGAGAUGGAAUCUUUGUUGGUCCCCAAAUAGUUAUUGUCUCUUUAGUAUUUUAAAAUUCAUUUUUCAAUUGGUUGGUGUUAAAUGCUAAGGUGGUCCCUUAUGUCUAAUUUAUUUGCUUGUUGCAGGUGUCAUUUUGAAGGAUGAUUAAAGAAGUGGAUAUUGUUUUCAACUAUGGGGGCAAUAGGGUAAUUUCCCCAAAGCUGGGAUACAAUAUAAAAUUUCAGCACACCUGGUAUUAUAAUACUUGUUUAGUUUGUUAUGAUGAUUUGUGUGAAGCUUUUACUUCCAAAUUUGGAUUUAAGGAAGUUCAACAAUUGUUGGUCACUGGUCCAUCUGGUACUUAUUAUGUAAUUGAAGAUAAUGAUGGAAUUAAGACUCUUCAAUACUUAUUUUCAGAAGAUUUCAAGGUAAUAGAUUUUUAUGUUGUAGAUGCUCAUGAAUUGAGAGUUUCUGCCACAAAUAUCAUAUAUCAUACUGAAUCAUAUUUUGUGGAUGUUGAAGCUGCUACUGAUUGUGAUUAUAGUGAUGUGGAGGAUGAUACUCUUUAUGAAAUGGGCAACAGUUGUGAAAUUGUUGAAUAUAAUGUUGAAGUGCUUCAACGUUAUGAACAUGAAAAAGAGAGAGUUGUGAGUGAUGGACUUGAAAAGUUUAAGGAAUUAGAAAUGGGUAUGACCUUUAAGACUAUUGAAGAACCUAGGCAGGUUGUUAGCUUUUAUGCUAUGGCUAACAAAAGAAGUUGAAAACAAAAAAAAGUGAUACAAAAAGAAUUAGGUAUGAGUGUUAUGAUGGUUGUCCCUUUUACUCUUCUCAUAUCUAAGGAUGGAAAAUCAGCAACAUUUAAGGUUAAAACAUUGAUGCCUAAGCAUACUUGUGGUGAUUCUUUUGUUAAUCCAUUGGAAACUUAUCAUACCUUGGCUGUUUAUUUUAAGGAUGAAGUUCUAAACAAUCCAAAAUACCCUAUCAAAGACAUGAGAGGAAUUCUUGAAAAAAAAUUCAAGUUGAAUGUCUUAAGAUCCAAACUAAAAAGAGCCAAAACAAUGGCUCUUGAUAAGUUGGAAGGCAGUUUCAAAGAUGACUACAAUAGGCUUGAAGCUUAUGGUCAAGAACUUAGACAAUCAAAACCAGGAUCUGAUGUGGUAAUUAAUAUCUCUAAAGAUGCACUUGAACAAGGCAUAAGAAGGUUUUUGAGAAUGUACAUUUGCUUCAAGGCUUUGAAGGAUGGAUGGAAAAGUUUGAGACCUAUAAUUGGUUUAGAUGGAACAUUUCUCAAAGGAAAAUGCAAGGGGCAACUAUUAGUAGUUGUUGGGCAAGACUCAAUGAAUCAUUUUUACCCAAUAGCUUGGGCAGUGGUGGAAAAGGAAAACACAGGAACAUGGACAUGGUUUAUUCAGUUGUUGAGGAUUUCGUUGGAGUUGAAAAAUGGUGAAAUUGUGACAUUUAUGUCUGAUAUGCAAAAGGUAGCUUUAAAUUUAUUUUUUUCUUAUUGCCUUUUCUUUAUCUUUUUUCUUACUGUCAUUUUUUUCUUUUCGAUUUUUAGGGCCUGUUCGAUGUUGUAGCUAAUGUUGUUCCAGAAGCACACCAUAGGCUUUGUGUGAGGCAUAUAGAAUCUAACUGGUGCAAGAAAUGGCGGAGUGGUGAAGAGAAAAAAUUGAUGUGGUGGUGUGCAUGGAGUACCUAUGAAGAAGAAUUCAAAGACACUUUGAAGGUGUUAGGAAAGGUGGAUGAAGAUUCAGCUAGUGAUCUUCUUCAUUUUCCUGUAAUUAAAUGGUGUAGGGCAUAUUUUGAUACUCAAUGUAAGAAUCUAAUGGUAGACAAUAACUUCACCGAGUCUUUUAACAGUUGGAUACUUGAAGCUAGAAAAAACCAAUCAUUAAAAUGUUGGAGGAAAUUAGAGUGAAGGUGAUGAAUAUGUUGGUGAAAAAUGAAAAAAUGGGCAGAAAAUGGCAAAAUGAUAUCAGUCCAACGGUUAUGAAAUUGUACAAUGACUAUCGAUUAAUGGCUACCAAUGGUACAGUUGAGUUCAAUGGAGAUUAUGGUUAUGAAGUGAAAGAUGGAGACACGGACACACAUACAGUGAAUUUGGAGUUGAAGAAAUGCAUUUGUAGAUUAUGGGACUUGGGUGGAAUACCGUGUCACCAUACCAUCAAGGCAAUUUUGCAUAAAAAAACUGAACCAUUGGAAGAGGUUCAUUACUGCUAUAAAAAGAGGCUUAUUUGUUAACAUACAAGCACAAGUUGCAACCAGUUAGGGGUUCUCAAUUCUGGAAAAUCGACCAUGCUCAAGCAAUGGAACCUCCGAAAAUGGUAAAACUUGUUGGCAGACCCAAGAUGAAAAGAAAUAAAGAAACUGAUGAGGCAAGUUUGAGAAAGGGGGCAUGGAAGCAGUCAAGAAAAGGAACUCUAAUGAGAUGCAACAAAUGUGGUGAUUUCAAUCACAAUGCUAAGGGAUGUUAUAAGGUAAUCUCUCUUAAUAUUUUCUUUUAGUUAAAAGGUGUUCAUUUUUGUCAAUCACAACAAUUUUUUUGGGUUGAAGGACCAUGAAGACGGUGAAAGUUAGCAUGAAAGAAAUAAGAAAGCAAGCAAUCAAAAGUCGAGGAGUUGAGCAAGAAAAAACUCUAUUGUAGAGUAUGAGACAGAAGCUUCACCCCAACAAUUUCAGACAAAACAGUCGACUGCCUAUGGUCCUAAGAUCGGGAAUGAUGAAGAUCCAGCAUUGCGACCAAUGGUAAUUUUUGAGACAGAAACAAGGAUGGAAAAGAGGUCUCGAAUAUUUGAAGGAAUAGGAAGCAGGAAGAUUGUUUUUUAAGGGGAUGCAAGAGGAAUCUCGACCCCUUCGGAUCUACCAUAUUCACCAAAGAAGACUACUUGAAAGGGCAAGAAAGCAGUCACAAUUGAUCAGUUACAAGCUGAAGUAAAGAAGAAAAGAGUGAAACAAAUGGCAAUGAAGGGCAAAUGGCCCGUGGAUACUAAUGAUGAUCUAGUUUAGAAGUCGUUGUGUGGUUGAUCAUUUUUUGACAUUAGGUGGUUAUUUUGGAUAGUAUUAUAUGAUGUAAAUCCAAACAAUUUCUUUUGUUGCUAACCAUAUAAUAGAUAUUUGUGGUUGGUUUAACCACCAGAAGGUUAAUCUUCUUUUGCUGGUAACUUGUGUUAAGAUAAUUUUAUAAAAAUUGAGAAUUAUAUUCUACUGCAUCUGGUGUAAUUAUUGUUGAUUGUAUUUUGUGUGAGAGAGUAAAUUUAUGUGCUUUGAUUGGUAGCGUUGUUUAAAUUACGACUAAAAUUAGCAUUGUUCACGAUCUUCUUUGAACUAGUAGAUAGCUCACAGAUGAUUCAACGUGGAAUGUCAAGGAGUCAUUGAUGAUUCUCUAUCAUUUUACCUCGAGCUUUUGAUUCUCUUUCAUUACUAAAUAAUACAAAAGUUGACAAAAUCACUACACAAGACCAAAUAAGGUGAAUCAAAAGUUGUCAUAAAUCAAUACAAUGAACCAAAAGUUAAUUACACAUAAGUCACAAAACUGCAAAUGAGAUGAAAAAGUUUAGUCGCAUAAUAUGGCCUUGGAAUCUAUCAUUUAAAUUCCCAGAAAAGAUAUGAUCCUACAAAGUACUACUAUAUUUCCAAAUUUUACAAACUUUUUGCCUCAGUGAGUGAAGAAAAGAACCCAACUAAGCAACUGAAUGUAAAAUAACUUCAAACUUUUCUCUCGAAUUUUAAGAUUUCAUAAACGCAAUGACUCCGUCCACAGUUCGUUCGCGAACACUCUGAAUAUGUGGUGUGACGGCCAAUAAAACUUCAGCAGACUCUUGAUUUUCACUUGUAGCUGCAAGAUGUAUUAGCAUGUAAUUAUCACUGACAGUAUCCCCUGCCUUUACCACACAACGAAAGAAUGAACUGCCGCAACUGCUAGCAGAGGACACAUAUUAUCAUCUCCUAUUUGAGCAUCAAAAUUAGCAUGGUGUUUUAGCAAAACCGUAAUAGCAUCUUCCUGGCUGCGGUCUACAACGCAUAUUAAUGGUGUUCCAACAUCAACAUCACUUCGCAAAUCAACGUCUACACCUAUCGGUAGAAACAAUUUAACCAAUUCAAUAUGCCCAUUUCCUGCAUCAUUAAAUGGACAAAAUAAAACACAUAAGAAUAUCACUUCAAGCAAAGAAUAUCAAGAACAAAUUUACCCUAUAACUCUAACACCAAAGGUCCUUAAAAGAAAAGGGAAGAAAGUAAUCGAAACUUACAUAAGAUUUUGAACAAUAUUGAGACUGAUUGACGCCAAUUUAGAGCUCACCGAAACCUACCAACAUUUUGAUUUUUUUUCUUGUUGAGCGUGGAGAGUGGAGACCAUAGAAUUAAAUGGGUUAAAGUUUAUUUAAGUGGGUGGGGUUUUCUUGUUUUCAAUUGGGUCGGGUUGGUGAAAAGUUAUUGGGUGGGGUAUUUUAAGAGCGAUGUGGCAUUUUCUCAAAUUAAAGCAUAAAAAAAUGAAAUUUAAUUUAUUAAAUAUUGGUCUGUUAAAUAAAAGGGCAUAUAUGGGCCAUUUCUAUAACGGCAGGGACAUAUAUGAGCCAUUUUUUAAACGGAGGGUAUAUCAGCUCCAAAUCAUAAAGUUGAGGGGUAAAUCAGGCCCUUUUCCCAUAUAAGUAUGUUUCUUACAUACAAGAGAUUGAUGAUUUUAAUUCCAUUGAAAGCUACUUAGUAGAAUUUUCCAAAUCAAAGAGAGAGAAAUAUUAAGAUCCAAGUAGGAAUUUCUCUAUUCCUAGUUCGAUUCAAUUAACCAAGCAUAAAUAUCUCUUAAUAUACAAGAGAAGUUUAGACUCUAAAAGUCAAAUCAACAAAAUAUUGAUGGGCUAACACAUGAAAAACUACUGAGAAAAUCGCCUAAUUCCUGUAAAUUGUCCCUUAAAUACCCAAAAUGGACUCUAAAAAUUGUUAGAAUGUACGUAUUGCUCCCCCAACUCCCUACUGAGGGUUUUGUAAAGAUUUCGAUUAGAAAUCGUCCAUAAGUCAUAUCACUAAUAUAUUAAUGGUUAACACACACGACAAACUGAGAAAAUUAUCUAAUUUCUUUAAAUUGGCCCCUAAAUGCCUAAAAUGGACUCUAAAAGUUGUGAGACUGUACAUACUGCUCCCCCGACUCCCUACAGAGGGUUUCGUAAAUGUGUAGCAAAGAAAUCGUCUGAAAGUCAUAUCACUGAAAUAUUAAUGGGCUAACACAUACAAAACACUGAGAAAGUCGCCUAAUUCCUGUAAAUUGGAAUUCUAAAAUUGUGAGACUAUACGUAUUGCUCCAUUAACUCUCUAUGGAGGGUUCCGUAAAGAUUUCACAAAGAAAUUAUUCGAAAGACUUAUCACCAAAAUAUUCAUGGGCUAAUACAGACGAAUUGAGAAGAUCACCUAUUUCCUAUAAAUUAGCCGUGGGAUACCUAAAAUGGACUCUAAAAAUUGUGAGACUAACUCCCUACGAAGGGUUCCAUAUAAGUUUCGCAAAAGAAAUCAUUCAGAAAUCAUAUCACCAAAAUAUUUAUGGAUUAACACACACGAAAAAUUGAAAAAAUCGCCUAAUUCUUUUAAAUUGGCCCCUUAAUCCCUUUACGAGAUUAAUUAGAGAUGCGCGAGCGCGCGCACACACACACAUACACACACAUAUAUAUAUAUAAAGAAGAGAAGCUAGUUGUAGGGUUUGAUUGCCAUAAAAUACUUAGACAAUGUGGGUGACGCACAUUGUGAAUCUCAUGAAUUGACUCGUGGAUCAUUGUGAUAUUGGCCCAUGAAACUUAGUCUUAGGGAAAGAUUGUUGGGUGUGAGAUUGAAUUUCCACAUUUGAGAAGCUAUAUAUAAGGUGUAGGAUCUCUUAAGGGAAAAUUUCAUGUAUGGAAAACGUAUUUAAUGAAAUAACGCUCUAUAGGUAUAGUUUAGUAAUUACAUUCAAUGGGUAGUUUAGUUUGCUAUGAAGCAUUAAUUUUGUAUAUAAUGUUUUUUUUAAAAAUAAUUUAUACAAUAUUUUUUUUAAUAAAUGGAUACAUGAGCGCUAAAUACAGUAACAAAAAAUUUACAUAAUCCCAUGAUUCAAGCUAAUCGUUCAAAAUCAAAUAUUUUUCCAAAAAAGAGUUCUAUAGCAAUAGAAACACCAUAACAGCUGGUUUCCUCAAACGACUGAAGCAUACGAUUAAUCAAUAUUCUUGUAUAUUCAACACCAGGUAAGCGUUUCUUUCAAGGAAACUUCAUGUUUUGAACGGCAAGAAAGUAUACAAUUGAUUUGUAUAGUAUAUAAUUGAAAUUUUGGAAAACGGAUUAUUUUUGUUUUGUUCAUUCUAAUGGUUCGCAAUAAUUUAAUUUUGUUUAUACAAUAUUAGAUAAAUUUUAUAUUAACAAUUCAAUUCUAAUUUUUUGUUCAAAAAAUUGAAUGACACAAUUUGUAUAUAUGAAGUGUAUAUGAUUCGACAACAAUGGUGUGCUUUAAUUUGCUAAUUUUUGUUGUUGUUGUUGUUGUAAUUUUACUGUAUAAAUAAGUUAUACGAUUUGUAUAUUGUUUAAUUGGUAAUAUUGUAUAUAUGUAAGUAAUUGUAUACAAUUAUUAUACCAUAAAUAAGUGUAAGUAGUUGUAUAAAAUUACUAUGACAAUUAUAUAUAUGAAUUGUAUAUGAUUCAAUAAAAAAGGUGUGCUUUAAUUUGAUAAUUUUUGGUGUAACCUAAUGUUGACACCCAUUUUUGGACCUCCACAAUAUAUAUUAAUUCUCGAGCUUCUUAGAUUUCAAAUGAUUUGGAGUUAUUAGUUUAUAAAAUUUAAAUAUUUUUUAAAAAGAUUUUUGAAGCGAUUUAGUCGGCUUUAUAAUAUUUUAGAUAAUAGAUGGAUUUUACAUAAUUACUUAUAUAAUCAACGUGUAUUAUUAGCAUUUGGAAAUCAUCUUGAAAUAUUUUGCAUUUUUUAAAAUUAACUAUGUUAUUAAUUUAGUUUAGUAUAAAUUAAAGUUAUGAUUCUGAGUUAUUUGAAUUAGUUAGUUUAUAAUUAAAUUGUUUAUUUUAUUUUUGUUAAGAUUAAGAAGCUUGUUAAUUAAUUAAUAACAAUUCAUCUUAUUUAGACUUUGGCCGAAUUCACCAAUUAAUCCCAAUUUGGCUAAGUUUUAACUCUGAAUGGUUAUAAUCGUAAUCCAUUUAGCCCUUCUUGAUAUUGCAAUUUUAACCAUUCUCUAACCUUACCUCUAGCUUAUUUAAAUAAUCACCAAGGGGCUUUUAUCCUUGAUUACAUUUUCAGCAACACCCAAGCCCAUUUUUCCAUCAGCGUACAAUUAUUUCCAGCCAAUAAACUCCAGCAGUCCAUACCCACCCUCCAAUUCCCAUUACAGCAUACAACAAUUCCCAGUGAUUCAAACAUACACGUAGAGCAGCACCAACCGACCCCAUCCCCUUUAUUUCGCUCAUCUCCUCGUCCGUUUCAAAGUAAUAUUCUGGUGUUUGGAAGCAUCUGUUCUGUGAUUGUUCGUUGUUAUUUUUCAUAGGAUUGAUGAUGUUUUUAACGUAUUAAAUGUACACUUAAUUGUUUCCAUCAGUUAGUCCUAAUAUGGGGUCAAGUUCCGGAGAGCCAUUAAAGUUUUAUUUUGUUGUAUUUCUUUUCUUGAGCCUGCUCCUCGAACAUCGUCGAAUCUAUGUUCUUUUCGCUUUAGCAUCUUGAAUAUUGAAAGUUCCAUUCACUUUAUUACUGCUAAUGUUCUCUGUUCUUCCUUUGAGAUGAGGAAAAAUCUUCCGUACAAAUUGUAUGUUGUUGUAGCUGCUGUUCGGUAGGCAUAAGUGGUUAUUUUCUUCUUGAUUAAAUUUCAUGGCCGUCCUAUUUUGCAUUGCGAAUGUGUAACUGUUUAUUUGGUUUUUAUUCCUCCUCAUUUUCAGCAUAUUUCCAUAAUUUUGGUUGAGUGUAUUGCUUAUUCUAACUUGAAGCUAAAUGUUUAUAAUAAUUUCGUUGGUUGUCUGCUUAAAUGUGGGCUGAAUAUCAAUACUAUUCUUUCUAAAUGUUAAGUUAUACUCGUUCUUUUUGGUUUUUUUUCUUCCGAGGAUUUGCUUUCGACUAUAGUUCUGUUUCUUUUGUGCGUGUGUUUGGAGGUCGGCAUUUGGUUUUAUGCCAGCCUAGUUUUACAUAUCUCUUUUCACUUUCAUGGAAACCUUUGAUGUUAUAGCUCUACUUGUCGGAUUAGGUUUAAAAAAAUGAAAUGCAUCUUUGUUCUUCUCAAAUUUGUUCCAUGUUUUCUUGGUUUUUUAAAAAAAAUGGUAUAGCUGAUUAAAAUAGCAUUAGUUUAGCUCGAGAUUUCCUUAAUACCGUGUUGCUAUUUAUUCUAUCUCGCAUCUUAUAACUCGAUAUUAUUUGUCUUGGGUUCUUUGUGGCUUUUAUUUCGAAAGUUUUGCCUUGCUAUCGUGUCAAUUUUCGUGCUUGUUGUUUGUAGCUGCUUGAGAAAAUAUGAAUGACCACUUUAUAAAAAAAAAAAAAAAAGGAGUUAGAAUCAACAAUGGGUUGCUGUUUGAAUAAUUGACCUUCAGCUUAUUUUGCUCAAAUGUUAAGUCACGUAUGUUCCCAAACACGGUUCGUAUACAAUGGUACACGUGAUGUGUAUACACAGAUUUCUUGAAGGAAAAUGGGGGGCAAAAGCCCAAGGAAAUUUCAGCAAGUCCAAGAUUUGGGCCUAAUUUGAUAUUCCUCUCCUUGCUCUUAUUUAUUUUGUUAUAUUUGACUAACGUUUUGAUUAUCUUAUGAUUUAAUCUAAUUAAAUUUUCCAAGAAUGGUCAUUUCAUUUUAUUUUUCGAAUUAAAGUAUAUAUAUUUUAUUACUUAGUUUUUAUUUUAAUAUUUGUCUUGUUGACAUUUUAUGAACUAUUUCCCUUUAGAAAAUUCUCCUUUAGUUCAUUCCCCCUUAAGAUAAAUAAAAUGAUAAAAAUAAUAGUAAUAAAUAAAUGAGUUCAUUUACUUAGCUAAAUUUUUUUUUAAAUAAGUUAAAAUAAAUGAGUUCUUUUACUUAGUUAAAAUUUCAAAAAUUAGUCAAAGUCGUUAUGAGCUCUUUUAUACUUAGUUAAAAUUUCAAAAGUUAGUCAAAGUCAUUUUUAGUCAAAUCGUCGGUCAACCGCAAGUUAGCGGACAUUUUGAGGGCCUAACACCUUCUCGGAAUGUACAUUGAACUCGAACCCUUUUUCAAUUGAUUUUAUCUGUUUGAGUAUUUUGAAAAUCUUAAGUUUUUUCUUGAGUUUUACUAAAAAAAUUAAGUGGCGACUCUAUUCUUUUGGAAAUCGAUUUCUCUUAAACUACAAGUUUAAUCGAUUUUUUCGAAAUCCUAGUCAUUUUUCUUUUAUAUAUAUUUUCGAGUAAAACACCUAACUGUAUAUAUAAUAAUGUAAGGUUUGUAUAUUGUUUAAUUCAUACUAUUGUAUAUAACUUACAAAAUAUACAAAUAUAUAUAUAUAAUACAAUUAUGAUUUAAGCAAAAAAUAUACAUAUACUUCAAGCAAUUUUGUAUAUAACUAACAAAAUAUACAAAUAUCUAAAUACAAUUGUGAUUUAAGCAGAAAAUAUACAUAUAUUUCAAACAAUUUUGUAUAUAACUAACAAAAUAUACAAAUAUCUACAUACAAUUGUGUUUUAAGCAAAUAUUUGAUGUUCUUGAUCUAAUGAAGGAGACACAACCUCCUCAGAAUCACUAUCUUUGGCUUUCCUCGUACUUCCUCCUUCAACAACUUUAAUGUCGCUUGCCUUAACAUUGUUGAUGACUUCUGGGAGUGCAAUUGGGUCAUUUUUUUUCUUGGAUCUCAAUUCUUCAAUAGAUUUUUCCUGUAGAAUUUGUUUAGAUUUUUCCAUAGACCCUGCAUUGACUCCAAAAUCUUGAGUUAAACCGAGUGAAAAUGAAGGUUGAUUAUUAAAAACUUUGACAUGCAAUGACGUACCUCUCGCAAUCCUCUUAGAUGGAGUCGAAUCAUCCAUUUUAUUUUUUGUAAAAAUGAUAUAUAAUAAGUAAUGAGGGAAUUUUGAGAAAAAAUUAUCCAAACACUAACAUGCACAAUACAUAUACAAUUGAAAAAUGAAAAAGAAAAAAAGAAAAGAGGUUCACCUACGAUUUAUGCGGUUACCUGCAAAAAGUAAAACACGAUUGGAGGGAGAAAGUGAAAUUCGAAUUUCAAAUUGAUUUUAGGAGAAAAACAGGAAAUGAGGAGAGGAGAGGAGAGGAGAGGAGAGGAGAGAUAAAUUUAAUUUUGUAUAAAAUCAUAUACAAAGACCGAUGAAGGCUUUGUUGAUUCGGUAUACAAAGUGGUGGUGGGUCUCAUUAUUAAUGGCGAAAAAACUGAAAUUGUAUUUACUAACAGUAAAUAAAUUAAAUUAUACCCUCAAUGACUAAUAGCCUAGUAAUAUUUGCCAACUCACUUAAUUUUUCCAUAAUGUGUGAGACUUUUUGAAAGAAAAAAAAAUUGUGCUAACUUGGUUAAAGUGAACAAUUAUCAUACUCUAUUUAGAAUAUCUUUGGGCUAAUUUAUCCGAACAAAAACAAAUAAGUCCCCAAUCUAAGACCAUUAGCCGUUACUUGAAGACAAGACAUUCAUCAUUUGAACUAUUGAAUUAUGGACACAAGUCAAAGAAUCUUCCAACUAUUCAAGAAGUGUAAUUAAUACUUAAUAAAUAUAAUGUCAUCCUCAAUAACUUCAAAUAAUAUCCAAUAAUCAAUAUUAAAUUUUGAUAUUAAUAGAAAUAGUUAAUGAACCCCAAGUUGUAUAAUUUGAUUGUUGGGAUAAAAGAUAAAAGUCAAUCAAAAAUUUAAUUUUUUUAAGAAAUAAUCUUUUAAUUGUGAUUCAAUAAUGUAAUAACACAAGCAAUUACAAUACAUAUAAAUUUGCCAUGUCAGCAUAUGGUGUUCAUGAGUGCGUGUAUGACAAUAGUAAAAGUAUCUAUUUGGUCUUUUAGAUAAAUUUCAGUAUCUAAAUUACAAUUUUUGUCAAAUUUGAGGGAUUAUCUAGAUAUUUAGAUAAAAUUAUUUAUAUAUAAUUAUCUCUAAAUAGGCUCAUAAGCCAGUAAAUGAUACUUUAUAAAUAACUUCAGUUGUAAGUGUUUCUCUUACAAAUUCAAAUUAAUCCAAUGACAAAACCUUUUUAUGAUUUGACUGAAGAGGUUUCUGUGUUGCUGGUAUAUCAAGAUGAGGAAUUGGUUUCUAGUAAAUCAAAUGGUUGAUUUACUAGAGUUCAAUGGAUACAAAGGUGAUAUAUCUAGAACUAAUUUCUAUAUGACUUUCAUUAUAUAGAGAGAGAAUUAAUUGAUACGAUGUUUAUUUAGAACUUUUCCUUUCCUUGUUAUCAUAACAUUAUUUCUAUGCUUGUGUAUGUUGUGUUACAAGUUAAUAAAUGAAUUUGUAUGAUUAUAAGGAAUUAAAUUAGAUUCUUCAUUUUUGUUUUUGUUGUAACCAUGUCACUGACUCGAUUAGCUUUCUCCAUAAGGAUUGUGUAAUUUUUCAAAGAGGUUCAAUAAUUUUAUGUUAAAGUAUGUGUUGUUCUAAUUUUAUCGGAUAUUUUUCCAUAAAGGAGAUAGUUUAAGUUUAUGUUAAUAUUAAUUAUUUCACACUUGACUUUUUUGUACAAAAAAUAAAAAGGAAACUUAUUCUUUGUCAAUCGGGCCUAGAGUGACAUCGUGUUGGAGGAGAAAAUAAUUAGGACCCUCAUAAAUAAUUUUGAAAUCAUAGAUCUUUGAUUUUUACAAAUCUAUAUAUUGUUUUAGAAAGAAAACACAUUCACUUGGAUGAUUGAGGCACAAAAUAAGAGUAAGAGAUUGAAGAGAAGAGCGAGAUAAAGACAUGAUAAGAGAUGAUUUGGCUAUCAUUAUUGUCUGAGAUGACUUUUUUUUGUCUUUUAUUCAAUGUAGACAAACAAAUAAAUAGGGACAUGUGAUUUUCAUGAUUUUUUUCUUCUAUUUUUUUUUUUUGUCUUUUAUUAGAUGUAGACAAGAAAAGAAAUUUUUUUCAUGUGACUUUUCCUCAUUUAUUUUUGUUUCAUUUUCAAUUACUUUGUUAGUAUUUAAUAUCGAUUGUUCCUUAUUCAAGCUAUGUUAAAUAUUUUUAACAUAAUUUUUUUGGUAACUCCUUUCUAAUAAUUUGUUAAAUCUUCUAAACUCUCGUUACUUAUUUAUGAAAUAAAAUUACCUUAAAACUUUUUACAUAAAUUUAUCUUAAAACUUUUUAUCCUAUUAUAUCUUGCUUUAAUAGUAUUUAAUCUAUAUAUAUAUUCAGUGUUUAUUUGUUUUCAACAAGUCAAAGAAUAAAUUAGAAUAUAUUCUUUAGAAUUAUAUUCCUAUAGAAUCUUCUCUAUUAUAUAUUCCUACAGUUAUUUACUGUAAAGUAAUAUUAUAUAUUAGUAAGAUUGCACACACCGUUUACGAUAUAAGUUGAUUAAUAUGUGUUAUUUCAUAAAUUAAAGUAUAGCAACAUAAUAUGAAAUUUCAUAAUUGAAUUUGAAUGAGAAAUUAAAUAAACAUAUCCAAAUGAUAAUUUUGUGUAUAAUAUUUUUUUCAUGUUCUUCACUAACUUUAAAGUGUAUGGAUAUAUACAGUUACGACAGCUACAACUCCUGCAGCAAUGUCAAUGCUCUCCAAAGAAAAGAAAAAAAUUGACAUGAUGAUAAUCGAUGUCAAUUCAUCAGAUUUACAUUGUUUUGAACUCUUGACACAAGCUGUAACCUUAAAUAUAAUCUCUCUUGGUAAGUAUUUAUAAUUCUAUUUUUCACUUCUUGUUAUAAAUAUUGGGUAAAAUCAGUUGUUUCAAUUAAUACACCACAAAAAUAUAAUUAGCUAUAAAAUUUAUCGUUAAUCUAUUGUCAAGAGACGACAUCUAUCCAUUGGUAAUCUUGUUUUUAGUUAUAGUUAUAUGAUAAAUGAUUGUUUCGUAACAAAGUUGUUGUCGUAACAGAUAAAAUUCAGUAAAUAUAUGUGUGAAAUUAACUAUUCUCAUAAUGUAUGAUAUAUUUUUAUUUUUAUUUUUAACUUCUCAAUAUAAUUAUGUAGUUGUAUGUGAUGAACUCAAUAGACUCUUAGCCAAGAACGCUUUGGAAAAUGGAGCUUAUUUUGCUUGAAAAAGCCAUUCAACAAGGAAAUUGUGAAAUACUUAUGGCAACUUGUAUUGAGAGAAAAAAUACAAAGGGAGAAAUCGAAAAAAGGUUUAGAAGCAAAUGGACGAAAUCAUAUGAAUGCUGAUGAAAUUUAUGAUAGUAAUAUUGUAAGAGAUGAACAAUUUGGAGAGAAGAAUAUGCAUGUUGAUACUGAGGAACAUAACAAUAAUAUCCAUAAGGCUGAAAAUGAUGGCGUAUCAACUGGUAAAUACAAGUUGAAGAGGAAGAGAGGGAGAAAAGGUAUAAAACAGAUUAAUGAAGGAGAAAGUCGUAGCAGUACUGUUAUUAAUAAGACUGGUACACGUAAAUGACUUGUAUCAUGCAUUUUAAACAUACAUAAAUGACAAUGAAUUUGAGAUAAUAAUUAUAUCCAUAGUCCAACUCUCCUUUGAGUUUUUCUUUCUUUCAGAAAUGUCGUGAAAACAAUUGGAGACCUCGAAAAGAGAGAAAGAAUAUUCAUCACGGAUCCUCAAGUGAUUCUCAACAAAGAAGUAGUUGUAACACAUCAUUAGAAAGAAAAAAAAGGAGCUGCAAAAAACUUGGAAAAAUGCCUCAUCUUCAAACAAAUAUACCAAAUCAAAUACAAAGAGUCUCAGAGUUCCCACCAGUUAAUACCAACAACAUUUUUGCUAUUUCAACUCAGCAGCAACUCCAUCACCCACAACUUCAGGCUCAACCUCACUGCCUAAACCCAUCUUUGUCAGCCCAAAAUGAUGUUGGUGGUCAACUACAACAACACAGUCUGUUAUUUGGAAUGCGGGUCCAAUUAUUGGAAGCACUCAAAAUGGUUAUGGCUUGGAUCUCAAUCCUACCCAUGUAACAACAUAUUCAGGUAGCACAAUGAUAACUAAUACAAAUGUUGGAAAUGUGACACUUAAUGGAUUGGGAGCUACAAAUGCUAAUUUUCAGCAAGAUAUUGGUGAACAAAACAUGUUUGAUCCAAGUUCUUGCUCUCGUAAUAUUUGUAUCUUAACUUAUCGAAUGCAUUUAUGUAUCUUCCUGUAUUGCAAAAGCUAUAAUUGGGAAAAUAUUUUCAUCUUUUGAUGAGAAAUUUCUUAACCUUUACUCAUUUCUUCGUUUCCUUAUUAUGUAUUGAAUGUUUAAGAUUGUAGUAUAUUAUUACAUACUUAAAUCUUGUUUAUGAAAUUUUUUAAUGAUUAAUGUUUGGAUUAUAAAUCUCUUGUUUUGCUUAUGUAUUGAAUGAUUUUUAUUUUUAAUGAAGUGAGUCAAAUUGUUUCUUUAAUUAUUCUUGUGUUUUAAUAUUUCUAAAAGGAGCGACUAAUCCUAGGACUUGCUCAGUUACUUUGAUUUGAGCUCGAGAGAGUGAAAAAAGAAUAAGAAGAGAGAUUGGAAAAGAUUAAUUAACAAAAAUUGUGGUACUAAUUUGGGUAUUAAUAAACAAAUCCUUACUUGAUCGCAUAUGUGUUGUUCUGUGUGAAAUUUGCCUCUGACUUAUAGUUGACUAAAUUAUAUUGCAUAUGUUCGUGUACAUUUUCUCACUUGGAAGAGUGGAUUUGGAUGUUAUUAACCAUCACCAUCGUUUAGGUAGAAAAAGAAAAUAACUAAUAGUUUAAUGUUUUAAUACAUAAAUGAUCAACUAAUAUGAGACGGAAAGAGUAGCGUAAAUGUAAGAUUCACUUCUCACCAAGAAUCCUCCUUUCUUAUUAUUUUCCUUUUAGAGGUUAAUAAUUAUUAUGUAUCCCUAGAAUAAUUUAUUGAAAUAGUAGAUUUGAAAGAAAGCAAUUAUUCUCUUCUUCCUAUGCGGGACUUUUAGAACAAAACUAAUUUGACAAAAACCACAAUUUAUUGAUUUUUAGGUGGAAUUAUAUCAAUAAGGAACUAUGCUUAUAAUAUUAAUCUAAGAUCAUUAGGGGUCGUUUGGUAGAGUGUAUGAGGUAAAAUAAUGCAUGCAUUAGGUGUGUGUAUUAGUAAUACCUUGUUUGGUACACUUUUUCAUGUCAUGUAUAACUAAUGCAAGCAUUAGUUAUACACUAUAUUGUGUAUUACUAAUACCAAGAAAUCCUAGAUAUUAGUAAUACAUAGCGUUUUAAUACUUGCAUUAGAUUAUACAAUUACAAAACUACCCUCAAAGCCUUUUAAAAAAACAUCUUCAUUUUCCAUGGUACUGUGUUUAGAAACCUUUCAUCUUCUAUGUGGCUGCUAACACUACAAGAAAAGUGUGAAUUACAUGAGGAUUUUCCUGGGGAUUAGUAUGAAAAUCCGUAGGAAACUUAUUUUUCUGCAAAUUUUCAUACUAAUCCCCAGGGAAAUCCCCAUGUAAUUCACAUUUUUCUUGUAGUGUAAACCUUUAAAAAAAAACAUCUCCGUUAUUUAUAAAUUUGAUUGUUGUAAUACUUUUUUGUAUUUCAAUUGCACUAAAAAAUAGGAUCUGUGGCUGCUAAAGCAUAUGCCCAGACUCCUAAUAUAUAUAAAGUGCAUAUACUGAUUUUAAUAGGGUACCGCUUUGCAGUUAGGAAUUAUCUCAGGUCUAUGCUGCCUGUAUCUCCCUUACAUUCCAUCAGUUUUUAUUUUUUAUUUUUGGACUCGUUUUAUCUCAAAAUAUAUAUAAAGCACUACUAAUGCAUGCAUUACUAACACACCCUAUUUUACAUUAUUCUUAUACACUCUGCCAAACGAUCCCUAUUGUUACUUGAACACAUGGAUUCAUCAUCUGAACAAUUGAAACAAUUAAUACUUGUGUGAACCUCUUGUUAUUUCGAGUGAUGUGUCAGAAUCUUUAGCCAACUAAGACUAGCGUUAAAUUUUUGGCAAGUCUCAAGAAGUGUAAUUAAUACUUAAUAAAAUAAUCUCAUCCUUGAGAUUCAAGAACUUGUUUGGUCUGAAUAGGUUUUAAUCAUUAAGAUCUAGAACAAAGUCUUAAUAUUAGUAAGAGGUAUUUUUGUGUGAAUAGUUUUCUUUGAGGUUCGAGAAAUGGAAUAGAUAUGGACUACAAGUUGAUAUUCGCCAUUAGGAAAUUCACACGAAAAGGAACGAGGAAUUCUCAAUGAAAAAAGCGCUCUCUAAAUCUGUUUAGUAUUUGCCAUGAGGUUCUUACCAUAAUUGAAUUUUCCUUUUAGGAAAAGGUAAACACAGUCUCCAUAUUUGUCUAGUUCUUUUUCUUGUACGAAAAAAAUUAUGACUCUAUAAAUAGAUGUUUAUUCAUUCUAGCUUGGUAGCAUUCAUAAUGUAGUCUUAGGGGGCUUUGAGAGUUUUGUGUAUUGUGUGAAGCUAGGGGAAGAAUGUGUGAGACACAAGUAUUACUUUAACACUUGUGUGAACCUCUUUGUAUUCCGAGUGAAUUGUGUGAGGUCAUUCUUCUCUAGAUUUUGAACUUUCUUUUAUAUAGUGAUUUUUUCAUCUCCUCUUGUGGAUGUAGACCGGUUGACCGAACCACGAUAAAUGUUUGUGUCUUUUUGUAUAUUUCUCGUUUGUCUUAUUACUCAUCGUCUUUCGAGGUUUGCUUUGCUAACUUUUGCAUGACACCUAAUUAUUUCAGUCCCAACAAGUGAUAUCAGAGUCAAGUUCAAUGGUUUAAUGAUCCAAUGGUUGAACCAGGUCAAAAAUAAGUGUUCAUCUUGACGGGUUUAGUUCUACCAUAACAUAUUUGAUAGUAAUGAAGAUUUUUGUUGGAGAAAUAUUUUCAAAGAUGUUUUUUGUGUUGAGAUAUAUAUAUAUAUAUAGAGAGAGAGAGAGAGAGAGAGAGAGAGAGAGAGAGAGAGAGAGGGAGAUAUUUUGCAGAGGAGAUGCAUAGUUAUUGAAGAUUAUGUGAAGAAGGUGGAACAAAUUUAUUUUGUCAGAAAUUUAGGCCAAUGGAGAUAUUUGUUUAGUAUUUGUCAUGAGUUUCUUACCAUAAUUGAGUUUUUUUCUUUUAGAAAAAGGAAAACACAAAGUUUCCAUAUUUGGCUAGUUCUUUUUCUUGUAGGAAAAUGUUUAUGACUCUAAAAUUAUAUGUGUAUUCCUUCUAGCCUAAUAGCAUUCACAAUGUAGUCCUAGGGGGCUUAGAGAGUUUUGUGUAUUGCGUGUAGCUAGGGGAGAAUGUGUGAGACACAAGUGUUACUUUAACACUUCCGUAAACCUCUUUGUUUUUACAUUGAAUUGUGUGGGGUUAUUCCUCUCUAUAUUUUGUACUUUCUUUUAUAUAGUGAAUUGCUCAUAUCCUCUUUUGGAUGUAGGUCGGUUGUUCAAACGACGUUAAAUAUUUGUGUCUUUUGGUAUAUUUUUUGUUUGUUUUAUUACUCACAGUCUUUCAAAGUUUGCUUUGCUAGCUUUUGCAUGAUACCUAAUUAUUUCAGUCCCAACAAAACCAAACGUGAAAGUUGUUUUCCAGCAGGCAACUUUUCUAGUAGCUCUACUCUCGACUUGGAUAAUAUAUCCAAAAAGGUACGCUUUCGGUCAUUCCACAUGCUGCCUAUGUAGAGACAUGUUUAUCUAAAGUGGAUUCUCUUUUUUGCAGUAGGUAUUGAACCUGUUAUGCCCAUUGACUAAGAAGCUAGGGGUGGACACAACAACUACAUGGACCUCUUCCUUUCAUUGGCCAUCACCAUUAGUCGUCUUUGUUAUCACAAUGACCACCACCAUUACCGUCAUCAAAUAUCUCUGUCAUCACAAUUACCAUUCUUAUCAACCACUACUAUAUAUCAAGCAUUUGCUAUAUUUAUGUUUUUUAUCGACAUAAACAAUGGGUUAACAUGAUAUAAUUUAUUAGUAGUUUUAUAUAUUUUUCCCAUAAUAAAGGAAACAAUCACUUAUACAUUCUUUGAGAUCAUUUAGUGUAAAAUCAGGAGUGGAAUCAUAACUAGGGUUAUAGCUUAGGAUCAAUUCACCUUCUUAAUUAAUGGGAUAAUUUACUUAGCUAAAUUUGAGUGAAAAGAAGAAGAAAUUAAUUAAUUUAAUUCGUUUACGUUCCAAUGGGGUGUGCAAUACCCAUAAAUUUGUCAUGUCGUUAUUAGGUGUUCAUGAGAUGCAUAUAUUUCAAGCAAAAGUGUCUAUCUGAUUACUAGACAAGUUUAGCCGUCCAAUUUACAAAUUCUGCCAAAUUUGAGGGACUAUCUAGAUAUUAUUAAGAAAAUCUAUCUUAUUUAAUAUAAUAUUUAAAAUAGAUAACUUUGUAAUUAGUGUUCGCUAGAUCUUCAUAUUUUCUCCAACCAUUAUAAAUUCUCAGUGCUCUCUCUAUAUAAAUUCAUCAGGAUAAAAAUAAACAAGACAAGAUAUCAUACAUAAAAAAUAUCCAAAAGAGUUUUCUUUAAAUAUGUGUAAUCUUUUUUAAAUAGCAUAUCCCUUAAGAAGCUAUGUAGUUUUAUCACAAUGUCCUUCUUUAAUUGUUUUUCUUUAAUUAAUAAAAAGGUGUGUUAUAUAUAUCUUCAAUUGAUGAUAAGCCCACUUAUAUACAAAUAAAGUAAUGCAAGUGAAACUCUGUAAAGAAUCCUAUGAAGGUUCUAGCAGAGAAAUUAUAUUUAAAAAGGAGGGUAAUAGCUAAUGUGAAACAAUUAGGGUUGUAAAAUAAAAAAUAAAUCAAAAUAAUAAUAAUUAGGGUUGCAAAGCAACACCCUCUAUUAUUGAAGUUGAAGUUGUAAUUCGUAGGAUUAUUAUAUAAUUGUAAUAAUGCCUAGCUUUUUGUAACAAGAAGAGAAGUGUAUCAUCAUUUGGAGAGUUGUUAGAACAAUUAUAGUUAACAUUUGAGUUAAAGUACUAAAAUUAAUCUCUUAAAUUAUAAAGGUGUAAUUUGAAAUCAUUCGUUGAAGUUAGUAUAGAUUGAUUGAUAAGGAGUUGUUUAUAGUCUUUUGAGCAAAGAUAUUUUCAUUGUAAGCCCUUUCUUACUUAAUUAGCACUCCUUCGUUACUUUUUACUUAGUAGGACAUACGAAUUGAGGUUAGCUUAUCGCAAUCUAGUAUAUACAUUCAAUUAUUAGAAAAUAAAAUAAUAAUAAUAAAAUUAUUAUUAAAUUUAAGUUUUACUGUCUGGAUUUAUCAUGACACAUAUAAUGUCCACUUGGGCAAAUUUAUUAUUUAAAACACAAUAAUAAUAAUAUAUUCAAUGUAAUUUCAUAAUUGACAUUUGAGAAGAAAAAAUAUAUAUGCUAACCCUUGAUUAAAAAAUUAAAAUUAACCAACCAAAACUAAAAUAAAUAUUUAUAUAAGGUUGUGUAGUGAGAACAAUUAGAUAUACUGGUUUUAAUUCAACUAUGCAUUAAAAAGAACAAUAAGUUGCUGUGGUGUAGUGGUUAUCACGUUAGUCUUACACACUAAAGGUCCCCAGUUCGAUCCUGGGCAGCAACAUAUAUGUAAAAAGUUUUACUUUUUUUUUGAUAUGUCGACGAAAACGUGUUUAUCCUUUUAUUUGUCGGCGGCAUGUCGACGAAAACGUGUUUCUCCUCUUUAUUGUUUUCACCAUGACCUCUUCACUACUAUAUUUACAUUACAUGCUUGUUCUAUCGGAAACAACUCUACCUUCACAAGGUAGGGUAAGACUGCAUAAACGUCACCCUCCCCAUAGUACGUAAAAAGAAUAUGAGACAGCUGCAGGAUCAUGGAAAGAUCAAAUUUUCUCUUUAUUUCAUUAUUGCAAUUACUCCAUGUCAAAAUCCAAAUACAUUCUAUAGGCAUUUCUAUCUGAAGAGUAAUAGCCCUCCACAAGAGUAUCCACUUGGAAACCGAGUUUCUUGUAUAGCUGCAUAGCUGCAGUCCUUGUAGGAUCUACAUGAAGCGAUAUCCGAUGAACGUUUCUUGUUCUGCAUUUCUGCACUGCUGCCUCCAGUAAUUUUUCUCCAUGGCCUUGUCCCCUGUAGUUCUCUUUCACUGAUGUAUUCCACAGGAACGAUGCAUCAGUAAACAAAACGAAAAAUUUUAAAUGACAAAAGAUAAGGAAUAUUGUAAAUGAAUCUCUUAACCCCUCGUUUUUCAACUUGUGUUGAUUCGCUCAGGCCAGAGAACAACAAGAGAGAGACAGGCAUAAACAUCACGAUGAAAAACUCAUAACCACAUAGAGAACGAAAGCAAUUCUUUUGAAAAAUAAACAUCACAUGAAAGAUGGUUCUCUCUUCUAUGUAAUGACGGACAAUGCUUCACUGACUUAUCGGGAAUAUUUACUAAUAAUAUCAAUUCACCUUCUGCCUUUCCCUAUUGCGAUUCAAUAUGAUGACGAUCAGAGAAAGAUAUAACUAAACUCUCCUGCAAAAUUCCUUUAAAACAACUGCUAGCUAUUUCAAGGUUCGUUGUUUCCGCAAUAGUAACAUAUCAGCUUUGCUCGGAGGGGAAAACUACAUAACACCACUCUAAUUUAGAAAUGCUGCACUUUCAUCCAAUCCAGCUACAGAGAAAAACGUUGAAAGAGCAGAAGCAAUUUCUCCUACCUCUCUAUUCAUAGAGAUCAAAACUUGUUCGGCAAAUGCAUUCAUGCAUAUUCUUCUUUAAAAGACAACUUUUUGUAGAUGAACUGCUCCCAAAUAAGUAUUUUUAUCUUUUGAAUGCUCAAGUUAUAGUCACAUUCACACUCUUGACUGCUCUUUUUCCUACGAAAACAUUAUCAAAGAGUCACAUUUGAGUUCCUCACGAUUAUAACCUCGUAUAUUAAAUCAAAUUGGUCCUAGUCACAUUCGGAAAUAGUCUCUCUACUUUCACAACUAGGGAUAAGACCGCGUACAGACUAACCUCUCCAAACCCCACUUGUCUACGCGGUCCUAGUCACACUCACAUUGGGAAAUUGUCUCUCUACUUUCACAGGUAGGGAUAAGACUGCGUACACACUACCCUCUCCAGACCCCACUUGUCUACACAGUCCUAGUCACACUCACAUUGGGAAAUAGUCUCUCUACUUUCACAGGUAGGGAUAAGACUGCGUACACACUACCCUCUCCAGACCUUACUUGUCUACGCAGUCCUAAUCACACUCACAUUGGGAAAUAGUCUCUCUACUUUCACAGGUAGGGAUGGAUAAGACUGCCUACACACUAUCCUCUCUCCAAACCCGACUUAUCUACACAGAGUAUGUUGUUGUUCCAAUAAACAAUAUUAGAUAUCAGCUUAGACUUCAAUCCAAGAAUACAACUACAAUAAUCAGAAUAAAUUCAAGAAUAAGACCAAUUAUUAAAAGGAAAAUCAAAGCAAAACAGAAAAUUAUGAAAAGGGUAUUUUUUGUUCAGACCUGCUAAUUUAGUGAUACAAGCAGAGAGUGAAGAAGGCCAAGAAUACAUAACAUAACCAGCAAUAUCUUCACCUAAUUGAGUGUAGAGUAACCCAGAAUUCUUCUUUUUCAGUUCCUCAUCAAAAGAUCGAGCUAAAGAUUCAUGUUUGGGGAAAAUCUUCUUCUCUAUUCUCACUAUAUCGUCAACUACCUUAACCCAAUUUGCUGAAUUUCUCUGCAAUUCAACUAUCUCUGCCAUUUCUUCGUUUUCAUAUUUCUCUGUUUUUGCUGCUGUAUUUAGGUUAACAAGAAUCUACUGGGGUCAUUAUUGGAAAGAAAAAUAGUUCCUCUGUUAUUUUAAAAGUUUUUACUUUAUUUUUUUUAACUAUAAAGUUCUUAUAUAUUUUUAACGUUUUAAUUAUUAGAAACUAUUAUGUACAUUGUUUUUAUUUUACAUGGUUUAUUAAUAUAUAUAGUAUAAAUUUGCAUUCAUGUAUUAAUUAACUUAUCAAUUAAUCAAUAGUAAAAAUUCUCUCUGAUUUUCUGAUUAUUUAUGGCCAGUUUUUUUUUGUAUGUGUGCGUCUCUAAGCUCGUAAGUGAAAGUAAAUCAAUUUUUUAAUUGUUAAUUUAUGCCCAACUUCUUUAUGUAUGUGUGCGUUUCUAAGCUCGUAAGUGAAAGUAAAUCGAGUCUCACGAUAUCAUCUGUCUUUGUCAUACUCGUCUGGUUGAACAAGGACUAAUACUAGUUGUUGAGCAAAAUUAAUUUAUAAAUACUCUUAACAAGGUGUGAUAUUAUUUGUUUUGGGUAAAGUCUUUGUAAGGCUUCACACUAUUAAGAGAUUCUACACUUUAUAUGUAAUUUUUCAAUCUUUUCAGCUAUCAAUGUGGGAUUUUAUUUACCCAACUAACAAUUUUGUUAUUUGUUCUUACAUUUUGGUGUUAGCUUUGGCCUUUGUGUACUCCAUCAUAGGUUGAGGAAAGGGAUCAUAUAUAAUUGGAAAAAUACAAAUCAGAAUGGUAUUUUUGUUAGUAAUCCAAGGGAUUGGUUUACUUUUGGACAUGUUAUUUUUUUGGUUCUACUUAAGGUUAGUAAGGUCAUUUCAAUAUUAUUUUCUUCCUACUUCAAUCAACAGCAACUUCUAUUUUUCCUUAUAUGACAACGCAAUUCAAUCUAGCUACGUUGUUAUGUUAACCAACCCCAAAAACAGGACACCAUAUCUAGAUUGAUAAGCUUAAGUAAGUUUCGAUAUGACUCAUUUAUACUUCAAUUAAUCUAAAGUAAAACUUAUCCAUAUGUAUGAUCCAGCCAAAUUAUUUUAUCAAUAUAAUCGAAAUAUUAAAAACAUAUUUAGUAAUUAUGGAUAUCAUAGGUAUAGAUAUGUAUAUAUAUUAUACUAAAAUAUACAAAACCUAUACAAUUAUGACUAUUUGUAAAUUAGAUUAAUCAAAGACAUUGAACUGUAAUUAUUCCAAUCUAUACUUUAAACCCUUUUCACUUCAAAGCACUAUCCCAAUUCUAAACAGUUUGAGACAUGGUAAAAAAAAAUAAUUGAUUUUUUUUUUUUUAAGAUGGGGUGUAGUUAGGUGGAAUUUUCUUGGUUUUGUUCAAAUAAGUCUGCCUUUUGAAGCAUAGGCAUACUUGUUUCAUCUUUAUAUAUAUAUAUAUAAUAAUGAUGUUCUGGAUAACUUUUACACCUUAACUUGAUUAAUUAUGUGAGAUAUCUGUCAUUUUUCAUAGCAAUAUUAUAUUUAACUAUAUUCGCCCAAACUAAAACAGGUAGAAAUAACAUUUGAAUCUGUCAAACUGCAAUAAUGAAUUAUAUAUGGUGGAAGAUUCUUUGGGGCCCAACUGGCCCCACAGCUAAUAUUUUAACGGACGUCCAUGAAAAGUUUUAACAAAAUCACGUCGAAAUUCUAGAUCACCAAAAAUUCAUGGACUAUAUAGCACACGAUAAUCAGCAAAAUGGGGGGGGGGGUUACUUGCUCAAGGGCUCGUCUGACCUUGAAAAUGGGCUGGUUUGCCCGUGGGGACCAAUUGGCUCUAUAACUAAGGUCUUAACGGACGUCCAUGAAAAGUUAUUGCAAAAAAUCACGUUGGAGUUCCAUAUCACCAAAAAUCCAUGGACUAUAGCACAUGAAAAUUGGCAAAAUAAAGGGUUUACCUACUCUGGGCUCGUUUGACCUUGAAAAUGGGUUGGUUUGCCCGUGGGAACCAGCCGGCUCCAUAGCUAAGGUUUUAACGGAAAACCAUGAAAUUUUUUGGCAAAAGUCACGUCGGAAUUGCGGAUCACCAAAAAUCCAUGGACUAUAGUACACGAAAAUCGGCAAAAUGGGGGGGUUUACCUACUCUGGGGAUUGUUUGACCUUGAAAAUUUCCCGAUUUGCCCGUGUGGACCAACUGGCACCACAGCUAAGGUUUUAAUGGACGACCAUGAAAUUUUUUGGCAAAAGUCACGUCGGAAUUGCGGAUCACCAAAAGUUCAUGGACUAUAGUACACGAAAAUUGACAAAAUAGGGGGUUUACCUACUCUGGGGAUCGUUUGACCUUGAAAAUUGUCCGGUUUGCCCGUGUGGACCAACUGGCUCUAUAGCUAAGGUCUUAACGGACGUAUACAGAAAAUUUUGGCAAAAAUCACGUCAAAAUUUCGGAUCACCAAAAAUGCAUGGUCUAUAACACACGAAAAUCGGUAAAAUGAGGGUUUACCUGCUCUGGGGAUCAUUUGACCUUGAAAAUGGGUCGGUUUACUCGUGGGGACCAACUGGCUCUAUGCUAAGGUCUUAACGGACGUCUAUGAAAUUUUUUAGCAAAAAUCACGUCGAAAUUUCGGAUCACCAAAAUCCUAUGGACUAUAGCACACAAAAAUCGGCAAAAUAGGGGGUUUACCUGCUCUAGGCUCGUUUGACCUUGAAAAUGGGCCGAUUUUCCCGUGGGGACCAACUGGCUCCAUAGCUAAGGACUUCACGGACGUCCUUGACAAAUUUUGGCAAAAAUCACGUCGGAAUUCCGUAUCACCAAAAAUUUACGGACCAUAGCACACGAAAAUAGGCAAAAUGGGGGGUUUACCUGCUCUGGGCUCAUUUGACCUUGAAAAUGGGCCGGUUUGCUCGUGGGGACCAACUGGCUGCAUAGCUAAGGUCUUAACGGAUGUCCAUGAAAAUUUUUGGUAAAAAUCACGUAGGAAUUCCGGAUCACAAAAAAUCCAUGGAUUAUAGCACAUGAAAAUCGGCAAAAUGGGGGGUUUUACCUGCUCUGGGGUUCAUUUAACCUUGAAAAUGGGCCAAUUUUCCCGUGGGGACCAACUGGCUCUAUAGGUAAGGCUUAAUGGACGUCCAUGAAUUUUUUUUGUAAAAAUCAUGUCAAAAUUCUGUAUCUCCAAAAAUCCAUGGACUAUAGCACACAAAAAUCAGCAAAAUGGGCGGUUUACCUGCUCUGGGAAUCGUUUGAACUUGAAAAUGGGCCGGUUUACCCAUGGGGAUCAACUGUCUUCAUAGCUAAGGUCUUAACGGACGUCUUUAAAAAUUUUGGCAAAAUUACGUCGAAAUUCCAGAUCAUCAAAAAUCCAUGGAUUAUAGCACAAGAAAAUGGGUAAAAUGGGUUGGUUUGCCCGUGGGGACCAACUGGCUCCAUAGCUAAGGUCUUAACGGACGUCCAUGAAAUUUUUUAGAAAAAAUCAUGUCGAAAUUCUGGAUCACCAAAAAUUGAUGGACUAGCACACAAAAAUUGGCAAAAUGGGGGGUUUACCUACUCUGGGGAUCGUUUGACCUUGUAACUGGGCCAAUUUUCCUGUGGGACCAACUGGCUCCAUAACUAAGGUCUUAACGGACGUCCAUGGAAAUUUUUGGAAAAAAUCACAUCAGAAUUCCGGAUCACCAAAAAUUCAUGGAUUAUAGCUCACGAAAAUUGGCAAAAUGGGGGGUUUACCUGCUCUUGGGCUCAUUUGACGUUGAAAAUGAGCCGGUUUGCUCGUGGGGACCAACUGGCUCCAUAGCUAAGGUCUUAACGGACGUCCAUAAAUUUUUUUGGCAAAAAUCACGUCGGAAUUCCGGAUCACAUUCAUGACUAUUUGUAAAUUAGAUUGAUCAAAGACAUUGAACUGUAAUUAUUCCAAUCUAUUCUUUAAACCUUUUUCACUUCAAAGUACUAUCCCAAUUCUAAACAGGUUGAGACCUAGUAAAAAAAAUGAUUUUUUUUAAAGAUGGGGUGUAGUUAGGUGGAAUUUUCUUGGUUUUGUUCAAAUAAGUCUGCCUUUUGAAGCAUCGGCUAUUCUUGUUUCAUCUUUAUUUUAUUUUUCAUAAUAAUGGUGUUCUGGAUAACUUUCACACCUUGACUUGAUUAAUUAUGUGAGAUAUUUAUCUGAUCAUUUUUCAUCAGCAAUAUUUAACUAUAUUCGCCUAAACUAAAACAGGUAGAAAUAACAUUUGAAUCUGUCAAACUUCAAUAAUGAAUUAUAUAUGGUAGAAGAUUCUUUGGGGCCAUUAUGCAAUGAUAGUGGAACAUGAGAAUAUUUUUAUGAUUGGUAAAAAUAUCAUGGGAAUGGCGAAAAACUAGCUUUGAUAAGAAGAAUAUGAUGCUUUAUAACAUUAUCAAGGGAACAAAAGUCAUUUUUAUAUAUUUGAAGAAAAGAAAGUUUUCACAUUACAAUAAUUGGGAUGCCUAUAAAUGUGUGGUUCAAAAUGAUAGUGACAAGCCACAUAUUAUAUUGAAGCAUUAAUUAAUCAUAGUAAAGAAAGUUCAAUGUUAUUAUUAGGGGCAAUUUGUGCAAAGUAGAUAUGACCUAAGUUGCUUGAACGCAAAGGUAAUGUUAUAAUGUUUGUGAAAAAUUGAUAGAUCAUUAAAUCAUUAAACCUAUUACCUAUAUAAGAUUUAGUGCUAAUUACAAUCAUUUCUAUGUAGUGUAAGUGAUGUUGGAUUAGGUGGAUAUCAACUUAUCAAAGUGGACACCAAAUUUUUUAAAUUGCUUUCUCUAGUGUUACACUAACUUUAAUAAGUGGAAAUCCUUAGACAAUUGUUGAAGAUAUCUAUCAUAUUUGAUCAAAUAAAACAUAAGUUAUCAAUCAUAGAAUCAGAUAUAUACCUUUAAAUUCACGGGAGCGUUUGACUAUGUUUCAUUGUGAAAUUUGAUUUUUCUUUUCAAGUAAAAAAAGAUAAAUUGAAAUUAGAUAUUGUUAUCAACUUGUAUACCACUAGUUCGAAAGGCAUAAUUUCUUAAACUGACAUUCAAACUUAGCCUCCACUUACAAGUAAUUACUUCAACUUUUUCAUUAUGUAUGCAUAUUUAGACACCUUAUAAACUCGACUCAUUUCCACUAUACCAGCUAAACUCUCCAACAUAUGUACAAAAUAAUCAUCUAGUCACCUUCAAAAUUUAUUCAUUACAUCAGCAUCGAAUGUAAUGAGAUACAGAGACGAGUUGAGUAUUUAGUAGACCGUUGAAACCAAGUUGAGGUGUCCAUACCUAUACAACAAUUAUCACAGGUGACAUGCUUUCAAAUAAUUUUGAAGUAUUAAAAAUAGAUGAUUUAUUAAAAUAAGAUAUUUCUCACCAUAAGCAAUUUUCAAUUCUUUCGCAUCAAACGCACCCAUAUUUAGAAUGUUCUAUACUAUCACUCUCCAUAGACGGCAGCCAUCAUGUCAAUCACCACCCACCAGCACUUGCUGUUGUUAACCUUGCCAAAUAGAUAAUGACAAGUUGGCAUAUGAGAUAGGUGGUCUACGCCUAUCAACAUGAGUUGUGGUGCAAUGGUGGAAUUGCUCAAUCCUUAAUUAGAAAUUUCAGGUUUGAGUCUUGGGUAUGAAGAAAAUUCUAUUGGAAGCGUCACUCUCAAAUGAGUCCUGUGCUGUACAAUUCAGAUUUAAUUAAGGCUUUAAUGCAGACUCCGAACAGUGAGCGUGAGAAAAAAAGAGAGGUGGCCUAUGCCUAUUUCUCUUUGAGAUGUUGAUGCCUUGAUUUUGAAUGUCUUGUUUUUCAAUCCUCGUGCUUAUAUCUUUGAAUAUUCAUUACUUUCUCUAGAUGUGAAAACUACUCUUUCCGUUUCAAUUUGAAUAUUCAGAUUAUAAAGAAUAUUUUUUUUAUAUUUUACGUAACUUUAAUCGAAUACCAUAUAAUUUAAAAGUUCGUUUUACUUUUUUAAAUCAAAAUCAAAUAAAUAAAUUAAAACGAAAGGAGUGAUGGCUGAGAUGUCCUGUAAAAUGGUAUUGGUCUCUUUAGUGGGAUUUUGUUAUUUUGAUUUUAAAUUGACACAAGAAGCUAAACAAGCUUUGUCUUCUUAAUGAUUGGAUUUGAUUCAUCUUUUCAAUUUCAAUUGAGUCUGUCUCAAAAUUCAUAAUGUUAACUAUAUAAAUCCAGGUGAUCAUAUAUUACAUUGAUCUAAGAUGUAUAUUCAUAUCAUAUAUCGCGUUACUAAAUAUAAUUACAUUGUAUGAACACGCGAAGAAGAUGAUCAGAACAAGAGAAGACAUGUUACUAAACAACAACAUAAGAAAAAACAAAUUCUGUUAAGUGAUUGAUCCGCGUGUGAUAGUUGUCUUCUUAACCUUGGACUAUUGCUUCCUGCUAGAUUAUAUGAACUUGAAUAUGUAUACAAAUUAGUAUUCAAUGAGUUCCCAAACAUUCGCGCAUAAAAAAUUUCCCCUGUUGUCGUUCCACCAGGACUUAGCAUAUGUUCUGUAUUUGUAUAAUUUCGAUGAUGAUCAUGAGAUUGUUGGUAUAAUGGAGGCAUAUUAUUAUUGGGUAUUACUCCGUGACUCCUACAUCUCGGAGUAGGAGGUCUUUGUGGUAUGACUAUACCAAGAUUCAGGGCCUUGCCUGCUGUUUUUGUAGCUUGACCGCGACCAUAGAGUGGAAUCAAUGUUUUUUGUGAGACUUCAGCUUUGCAAACAGGGCAUUUUGGCUGUUGAUUAUCGAUGUUCUCUGAUGAAAUGGUCUUAAUAUGUAUCCAUUUGUAGAUGCAAGGCCAACAAUAGAGGUGACCACAUAAUGUAACAACAGGAUCAUGUACAACAUCCAGGCAAAUGUUGCACUCGAAACCUCCAGGUGAAUUUUCUUCAAGUUUAUCAAGAUCAAUUGUCUUACAUUUUUCAAAGGAAAUAUCGCGUUGAUCAAAAAUAGUUUCUGGUAUUUGGUCUUGAAAAAUUUGUUCUAAGGCCAUAUUUGCUUCUUGGUAUUGAUUUAUUUUGGUAAUGGCAAGAUGAAUGGUUAGAAUUCAGGUUUUUAAUACAAUUAGAAGUGAGUAUUUAUAAGGACAAGAAUAGUAGUUUGCAAACAAUGAUUCUUAAGGUUGUCACUUGUCAACAUCACAUCAUGUUAAAGGGGCAUGGCCAAAAAGAAAAGGCCCUACACAUUAUUAAACAACACUAUAUCAUAUUACUCAACUCAGUUUUGAUUUAUGGGUACUGUUUGAUUUGAUAUAACAUUUAAUAAGAAAAUGAAAACUUUUAAAAUAUGUACUGUAUUAAAGAUAAAAAAUAAAUUUUAAAUUUUUAGAUCCUAGAAAUGAUAUUCUUUUUAUAUUAAGACUACAACAAAUGUCUUACAUAAAUUAAGACAGGUGAACUAUCAAACACAUCAUAAUUAAGUGAUUUAAUGAAGUCAAAAAUAAAUAUUAAUGGAUCAUGGUUAAGUGAGAGGAGUUUUGUGCAAACACGUCUUUUAUCUAUCUAUUUGAUUUAAACAAGCAUAAGUUUUAUCAUAUUAGAAAUAUGAUUAGGACCUUAUAUUAGGCCCCAUGAUAAGAAUCUUAAUCUAGAAAAUAACUUUUAGUCAAUAAAAAGUAGCACUAGUUGCGUACAAGGAGCUACCACUUGAUGACCUUCCACACAGCCACAUCCCAUAAGUUCAAUAGUUUUCACACUAUAAGAACUAGAUGUUUUUUUCCGAGUGAAUCAAUAAAAAUUUUAUGUUAUAAAACAUGAUUUUUUUCAUUUUGAUUUUAUUAAACUAAUUCACUAAGAAAACCCAUAACGAAACAUAAGUUCUCAUUGAAAUACUGGAAAUAGUCACUUGGAAAUUUAUGAGUUUUAGGAAAUUAUGCAUCAAAACUUAGAAAGACGCGGCUCAUAUAGAAAUUUGUUGUUAAAUCAUAAUAUAUACUUUUACAUCUGAAUAUCUUUAUUGAUUUGGUUAAAAUUAUAAUUAAAAAAAUUACAAUACAAUAUAUAUAGAUUCACAUAAAUUUAAUACUGUAAGUUCAAUUAUUAUUAUGAUAUAUUAAUCUAAAAUUAUUAUAGAAGCUUCUAAACUCUAAAUUCAGAUCCAACUAAGGAGUGAAUAUACAUAGUGGGGGUCUGGGGGAUGGGAGAAAACAUAUGGACGGUGUGACAAAUAAAUAAAAGAAAUACUCCGUCCAUUCCAUUUGACUUAGUAUUGUUUGACUUAAUACGAUGUAUAAGAGAAAAAAAAGAUUUUAGAAAAUUAUAGGCUAAAACAAUUUUUAUAUAUUUAUAUAAUUGUAAAUCAUUUCAUUAAUUAAGGGUAGAUGGAGAAUUUUAAGUUUAAUUAUUUUCAAUUACAAUAAAAUGACAUUUUUAAAGACGGAUUAUGAGAAUAGAGUGCCACGUAAUAUAAAACGAGAAAAUACUACUCCCUCCUUCCCAUUUUAUAUGUUACCUUUUUACUUUACAUUUACAUUAAGAAAUAAUGUAACUUUACCCUUCUACCCUUAUUUAAUGUUUUCUUAAGUUAACUUUAUAACUCCCUCCGUCCCAUUUUAUAUGUCAUCUCUUUCUAUAAAUAGUUGGACCACAAUACUUGUCAUUUUAUAAAAUUUAUGUAUAAAUUACCAUAUUUUACCUAUUAUAUCCUUGAUAGAGUAGUUAAUUAAUCUUGAAAAUAUAUUCAUCAUUUAUUAUAAAUUGACUUAAGAAAAUAUUAAAUAAGAAUAGAAAGAUAAAAUUACAUCAUUCUUCAACAAGUGGUAUCAGAGCCAGGUUAAUAAGAGCGAGGUAGUAACUCAAAAGAGAUCCUACAAGCUACCGUCGGAGGCUACAAAUCGCGAGGCACUAAUUAAUGAUGGAUUUUGCAAGCACUCUCAAUAGCGUUGAGANNNNNNNNNNNNNNNNNNNNNNNNNNNNNNNNNNNNNNNNNNNNNNNNNNNNNNNNNNNNNNNNNNNNNNNNNNNNNNNNNNNNNNNNNNNNNNNNNNNNNNNNNNNNNNNNNNNNNNNNNNNNNNNNNNNNNNNNNNNNNNNNNNNNNNNNNNNNNNNNNNNNNNNNNNNNNNNNNNNNNNNNNNNNNNNNNNNNNNNNNNNNNNNNNNNNNNNNNNNNNNNNNNNNNNNNNNNNNNNNNNNNNNNNNNNNNNNNNNNNNNNNNNNNNNNNNNNNNNNNNNNNNNNNNNNNNNNNNNNNNNNNNNNNNNNNNNNNNNNNNNNNNNNNNNNNNNNNNNNNNNNNNNNNNNNNNNNNNNNNNNNNNNNNNNNNNNNNNNNNNNNNNNNNNNNNNNNNNNNNNNNNNNNNNNNNNNNNNNNNNNNNNNNNNNNNNNNNNNNNNNNNNNNNNNNNNNNNNNNNNNNNNNNNNNNNNNNNNNNNNNNNNNNNNNNNNNNNNNNNNNNNNNNNNNNNNNNNNNNNNNNNNNNNNNNNNNNNNNNNNNNNNNNNNNNNNNNNNNNNNNNNNNNNNNNNNNNNNNNNNNNNNNNNNNNNNNNNNNNNNNNNNNNNNNNNNNNNNNNNNNNNNNNNNNNNNNNNNNNNNNNNNNNNNNNNNNNNNNNNNNNNNNNNNNNNNNNNNNNNNNNNNNNNNNNNNNNNNNNNNNNNNNNNNNNNNNNNNNNNNNNNNNNNNNNNNNNNNNNNNNNNNNNNNNNNNNNNNNNNNNNNNNNNNNNNNNNNNNNNNNNNNNNNNNNNNNNNNNNNNNNNNNNNNNNNNNNNNNNNNNNNNNNNNNNNNNNNNNNNNNNNNNNNNNNNNNNNNNNNNNNNNNNNNNNNNNNNNNNNNNNNNNNNNNNNNNNNNNNNNNNNNNNNNNNNNNNNNNNNNNNNNNNNNNNNNNNNNNNNNNNNNNNNNNNNNNNNNNNNNNNNNNNNNNNNNNNNNNNNNNNNNNNNNNNNNNNNNNNNNNNNNNNNNNNNNNNNNNNNNNNNNNNNNNNNNNNNNNNNNNNNNNNNNNNNNNNNNNNNNNNNNNNNNNNNNNNNNNNNNNNNNNNNNNNNNNNNNNNNNNNNNNNNNNNNNNNNNNNNNNNNNNNNNNNNNNNNNNNNNNNNNNNNNNNNNNNNNNNNNNNNNNNNNNNNNNNNNNNNNNNNNNNNNNNNNNNNNNNNNNNNNNNNNNNNNNNNNNNNNNNNNNNNNNNNNNNNNNNNNNNNNNNNNNNNNNNNNNNNNNNNNNNNNNNNNNNNNNNNNNNNNNNNNNNNNNNNNNNNNNNNNNNNNNNNNNNNNNNNNNNNNNNNNNNNNNNNNNNNNNNNNNNNNNNNNNNNNNNNNNNNNNNNNNNNNNNNNNNNNNNNNNNNNNNNNNNNNNNNNNNNNNNNNNNNNNNNNNNNNNNNNNNNNNNNNNNNNNNNNNNNNNNNNNNNNNNNNNNNNNNNNNNNNNNNNNNNNNNNNNNNNNNNNNNNNAAGCUUGAGAUAAGAGGAGACGUUAUAUGUGCUGGAUGUCAAUAUGGGAAAGCACAUCAACUUCCCUAUGGAGAAUCAAAGUAUCAAGCGNNNNNNNNNNNNNNNNNNNNNNNNNNNNNNNNNNNNNNNNNNNNNNNNNNNNNNNNNNNNNNNNNNNNNNNNGACCAGUGAAGCAGUCCUCCAUCAGCGGUUACCGUUACAUGGUAACAUUCAGUGAUGACUUCUCAAGGUACGUAUGGAUUUACUUCAUAAAAGAGAAAUUUGAAGUAUUUGAGAAGUUUAAAGAGUUUCAAUAUACUGUGGAGAAUGAUAUUGGAAGAAAAAUCAAAUGUCUCCGUACGGACAAUGGGGGAGAAUACACGUCACGAGAGUUCAAUGAAUAUCUUAAAGAGAAGUUGAUAAGACGACAACUAACUUGUCCAAAUACACCACAACAAAAUGGAGUGGCUGAAAGAAAAAAUAGACAUCUGGCGGAGAUAUGCAGAAGUAUGUUGCAUAGUAUGAAUGUACCAGCAAGGUUUUGGGCAGAAUGCAUGAAGACUGUUGUCCACAUCAUCAACAGGCUGCCGCAGGCAAGAUUGAGAUUUAUCUCACCAUUUGAGAAACUUAAAAAAAUAGAUUCCUACUGUAAGCCACUUUCGAGUUUUUGGUUGUGUGUGCUAUGUGUUCGUGCCAGAUCAUCUCCGCAACAAGUUUGAUAAGAAAGCUGUUCGUUGCAUCUUUGUUGGAUACGAUGAACAAAGAAAAGGAUGGAAGUGUUGUGACCCUACCACAAAUCGGACAUAUGUGUCAAGAAAUGUGGUAUUUGAUGAAGCAUCAUCUUGGUGGUCCAAAGAAGUCUCCCUGCCAGACUCAAUAGCUCUUGAGCAAAAGCUGCAAGAUAAGCUCAAUGAAGUAGAACAAGGGAACAAGAUAGACUCUAACCAGGAGGUAUCUCCACAAAAGGAAAAGAAAAGCUUACCACAAACUGGAGCUUGUGAAACACCAGAUGAGUUGCAAGAAGAAGUCCAAGAAGAGUCACAAUCGCAACUGAGGAGGUCUACACGACUGAAGCGUCCAAACAUCAAGUACAUAGAUGCAGCAUUAACCGAGGUGGUUAACAUCAAAGAGGCUGCUACCUUUGAAGAAGCUUCAAAGAGUAGGGAUCGGAAUAAUCCGACGAAGGUGGAGAUCCCCAAAGGGUAUGGACGUUAUGAUGCUUGCAAAGUUUCAGGAAUCGCUCACAAAAGACGCAAAGAAAAAAUUAAGUUGGUGUUGAGGGGGAGUGUUAAGAAUUCAUCACCAACUUAAUUCUUUACUUAAGAUAAAUCAAGAAAAAUCUAGAAUAUUCCGGAGGUGUAGAGAAUUGAAGGAAGAUCUCUAGAAUGAGUAUUCUAGAAAGAAUAGUCUAGAAAUGUUCUAGAAAGAAUAGUUCUAGAAAAAGAUAGUUAGGAAUAUUCUAGAAUAGAGUAGUAUGUAUCUCUCUAGAUUCUUCCAUCACCACCUAUAAAUAGAGGUGGUCCAUUUGAGUUGUAAGCAACCAAGCAAGAAACCAAGCAAGAAAUAAGAGAGCAAACAAGAGUGAGUGCUUAAGUCAAAUAGUGUUGCUGAAGCAAGCAACAAGUGUGAUCAAGAUUGUAAGACCGAAGCGGGUCCUUACUUUGAUAUAAUAAAAUUCAAGUUGUGAGAAAUCGAUUGUGCCCGUCGUCUCCAAAACAAUAAUAUUCAACACUCAUCCCCAAUUCUAGAGACUAAGUUUCUCAUCUUCAUUCUUAUCUCUAUCCUUACUUGUUAUUUCAAUAUUUCCAUUGUAAUUAGAUAGUUUGAUUAUUCCAAUUAGAAUAUUAAAGUUGUAAUAGUGUUCCAGUGCUCUUAUUAAUAGUGUGAGAAUUUUGGUUUGUUACAUCAGACGUUCUCUUUUCGAAUAAUUGAACGUCUCAUAUUAUUUGCUAAUGAAAAAUAUCAUGAGUAGGACCCAAAAAGAUAGUAGUACCAGAUAACAAACAAAAAAAUACUGUACAGUCUAAAAAUAAGUAUAGAAUAGCUUGAACUUUUGGGCCGUUGUAUAAAACACCCAGAAAGGGAGACAGGGGAGUCACUGGUCCACUUAAUUAUUACAUGUAGUAAAAUUAUUAGUUAUGUACUAGCAAUACUGGAAGUAUUAUUUCAUGGCAUAUAUUGGUGACUAAGAUAAGUGAUAAGCAUAAUAAAUAAUUUAGAAGUAGGUGGAUUCGAGUCAUCAACGAGCUCCCGGGGAGGAAUGAAAAAACUCUUAAUAAUAACUACAACAUGGAGUGGCCACUGCUAGCAUAGGUGAUAUCCUACGAAUAAUGAUGCCACUGCCUUCCGUCAUAUCCAAAUCCUCCGGUUUUAACACUUCUGGUAAUGCUAAAUUGAACUUGUGCACAAUCCUUGCUAAUGCUAGCUCAAUUACCACAAUAGCAAAACCAGUUCCUGGGCAGCCCCUUCUCCUAAAAUUGUCAACUUUUUAUAUUUUGGCUUACUUGGAAGCAAGUCUAUCCUCUCCUAUCCAAUCAAUUAGGGUGGCCAUUAAUCAGAUAUUAUUAGGCUAAAGAUAACAUAUUGCUCCCUCCGUUUUUAAUUAUUUAUCCAUUUUUUUAGUUAUUCCUAAUUACUUGUCUAUUUUGACAAAUCAAGAAAGAAUAAUUUUUUUUACCUAUUAUACCGUCAAUUUAUUACUUUGAAAAAAGUAGAACUUUUUGAAAAUCUUGAGUUUUUAAUUCAUCCACUUCAUAAUUAAUAUGGGUAAAAUGGUAAACUCACUAUUUCAAUAAUUGUUUUCUUAAUAAGUGUGCCAAUUUAAAAAUGGAUAAGUAAUUAGGGAUAGAGAAAGUAUAUCGAAAUAAUAUAAUCAGAUAUUAUGCUAAAGAUGAUUAACAAAACUUUGAACAAUUAUAAAUAAGAUAGCAAAAAAAUCGAUUAGAUAAUACUUAGCAAAUUAACACGGUUCAACGAUUAGUGAUGGAAUCUGAAUAUGAUUCGGGAUUUUCACUAUUAAUGAAAUUCAAAAGGCAUAAUACAUAAAUGUGCCCUUUAACUUGACUUCAUUUUAUGUUUAUGUCGUUCAAUUUUGGGUAUGCACAUAAACUUGUAUAAAGUUGAACAACUAGCCACAUGAGUUCUACACGACACAAUACAUUUAAGACACCACGUAGGAUAAAAAAUGACAUGUAGGAUACCAUAUAGGACAUGUGUGUCUGUUUCUUCAACUUUAUACAAAUUUAAAUGUCUACUUGUGCACACCCGAAGUUGAAGGGCAUAAAUGUGAUUUGAAGCCAAGUUAAAUGGUAUAUUUAUGUAUUAUGCCUAUUCAAAAUAUGAAUAAGUAAACAUACAAAUUAGCUGACUACAAUAAUACAAAGAUAAAAAAACAAUUUUAAUUAUAUGUAUAAAUAGUAUAAUUUUCCAUCAAAGGUGGUUCAUUUGAUUCCUCACUUCUUUCCCUCAUUUAAAACUAUGCAAUAUGAGACUUUCAUGUCACAUGGAAUCCUUCUCUUUUUUUUUUUUGGAAAUCUUAAUAGCUCAGUUAACUAACUGACUAUUUGAAUUCUCGAUUCCCCAUACUGUAAUCCUCUACCCCAAUUUUUUUCAUUACCUUCCUCACAUAUGUAUAAGACCGAAUCCAAAGAACUAAGAUGAGAGAAUUUUGGGAGAGCCGCCACUCCAACUACUGCCAUGUAUUAUCCAUACUAGAUCUGACCAUCUGUCCAUCCUACCCUCCUCUACGUUCUUGACAACCCAUUUUUGUCUUAGUCAAGUCUUUUAGUGGCACAUUUUGACCUUCUUUUCCAUUACUUAGAAAAAGUGAGCUAUUAUUCAGAUACAAAAUACUAUCAUUAUCGCCUAGAAAAUUAGACAUUCAACCCGUAAUCACAAUGAUCCAAUUACAAAAGCUCUGAACCCCCUAGGUCUAGACUGGCUCUGGCCCCUGGUUUUAUCACUUGACCUUCACAUGAGUAAACUCGUUGAUAUAGAGGAUUACAGUAUCGAUUUCUUUAAAAGAAAAAAACCUUAAUUUAUAAAAGUUCAAAAGAUUUUAAUUCAAUGUUUGUAAGUAAAAAAACAUAUUUCAUAAAACGGUUGCAAAUCACAUCGAAUAAGUUCCAUUGAUUGGUGUAUGGUUCUCAUAAGGGAAGUAACAGCAGCAUAAGCCAUAUAUCCAAAAAAUAGGACUAUCUCUCACUCUCAGUAUGAAAAUGGACAAAUUAAUUGCCACAAGUUAUGAAAAUGGCUAGUCCUCAGAACACCUUAACUACUUGCUGCAGAAUAAAAAAAAGACGCAAAAAAUGGAAAAUAAUAUGUUAGAUGUCCCAUAAUUAAGGAACAAGAGAACAUUAUAGUAAGAAUGAGCAUGCAGGUAUAAGAACUUACUCAUUAUUGCGGCAAGAAGCAACUUCUUUCUCAAAGUCAUCAUCAUCAUCAUCUUCAUCUGUUGUUACAGUAUCAAAUACCAAUUUCUCGAGCUGAUAUAAGUAGCGAAAAUCAUACAGGUCCUUGUGAUUGCGAAAGUCCUCUGGGACGCCAAAUACUUUCAACUUCUUUAAAUUGGGAAAUAGUCUAAAAAAAGACCCUGUACAAUACCAAGGAUUCAAUUGAUUGAGGCAUUGCAAACUUUUCAAAACCAAUCUGUUCUCUGUAGGCUCAUGACUCUGCAAGUAAUUCCAGCCCAUACACAGCUUCCUCAAUUGUGGCAUUGUCAAAAUUUCCGAUGGUAAUAUGAAAGGAUAAGCACAAUCACGAAACGGAAAGUUAAACUUAAAAGUUUGUAGAUAGCAUAGGCUUGAUAUCGAUAGAGGAAUGUCUAUUAUUGAUGAGGGAACAGCUUUUAACGAUCCUCGAUACUGCUUUAAGCAAGGAUAAAAACACAAAGAUAGGUAUCUCAAAUGAAUUAGAGAAAGUACUCCACUGGGAAAAAUUGGGUAUAUAUUCAAACCAAGAUCUAGUACUCUUACUAGCUUGAAAGACAAUUCCAGUGUGAAGCAUUUCAAUCCACCCAACAUGAUAAUAGAAUGAGCCUCACUGUUACGACACCAAGCCAAUUCUUCCUUCUUAUAGAUACUGAUCCGACUUCGACUCUUAAAGGAACACUGCAUGGAUUGUGCACAUGAAUUUUGAUCACUCUUUCCUCUGAUAACAUUCACAAAAUUCAUGUUUCGAGCUUCCCUCAAACAGAGUUCACGGAUCACAUCAUGCAUUCCACAUCUCUCUAUUUCCCCAUCAAAACUCAAAUUGUGGAUAGAAAUUAGACUUCUAUCUACAAGUUCGUUUAUACAUGUUUCUGCCACCUCUUCUAUGCUUUUUCCUUCUUCUUCAUUCAAAAACCCCUCUACGGCCCAUAACUCAACAAGUGCAUUUACAUAAAUCCGUUCAUCCUCUGCGAAAAUUGCAAAAUACAGAAAACACGGUUUUAGGUGAGAAGGCAAGUGAUGGUAACUCAAAGCCAACACUCUCAUGCAUUUUGCUUCAAGAUCUCUGCUUACCACCGAACUUACAUUCUCCGCAACAUUUUGCCACUCAUCCAAUGUUUUACUGAUUUUGGAGAGAAGUCCAGCAAUCAAAGUAAUUUCUAGAGGUAACCCUCCACAUUUUAAUGCAAUUUGUUUCCCAAUAUUUUCAAAUUCAGGAGAAUAAGAACCUUCUUUUUCAAAGAUCUUUUUGUGUAGUAAAUUCCAACUUUCGUCAAAAUUCAUGAGGCGCAUNNNNNNNNNNNNNNNNNNNNNNNNNNNNNNNNNNNNNNNNNNNNNNNNNNNNNNNNNNNNNNNNNNNNNNNNNNNNNNNNNNNNNNNNNNNNNNNNNNNNNNNNNNNNNNNNNNNNNNNNNNNNNNNNNNNNNNNNNNNNNNNNNNNNNNNNNNNNNNNNNNNNNNNNNNNNNNNNNNNNNNNNNNNNNNNNNNNNNNNNNNNNNNNNNNNNNNNNNNNNNNNNNNNNNNNNNNNNNNNNNNNNNNNNNNNNNNNNNNNNNNNNNNNNNNNNNNNNNNNNNNNNNNNNNNNNNNNNNNNNNNNNNNNNNNNNNNNNNNNNNNNNNNCAUGUUCAGGUAAACUGACAAGUGAGCUAGUUUGUGGUUUUAGAUCUUUCAUGCUGUCCGAUGCUGCCAUCCACUGUUUCACGGUGGAAUCAAUGUAUUCUAGUGCUUGUUCCAAGACGAAAAAAAUCUCCCACAUAGCCCUGCUUCUUUCCUCCAAAUUCUGUGCUAAAAAAACAUUUCUUGAUUCCGAGUCAACCAUAUCUUCUGUUGUGUAUGCUACCUCUGCGAUUUCAACUUCCAAGAUUGUUAACCCCUCAUGAUCGCCCAUUAUAUUGCAGGAUUUCUCCAGAAUAGCUCUCAAAGAUUUGAGCUUUUCAUAAAACGGUUGCAAAUCACAUCCAGUAAGUUCCAUUGAUUGAUGUAUGGUUCUCAUAAGGGAAGUAACAGCAGCAUAAGCCAUAUAUCCAAAAAAUAGAAAUAUCUCUCAGUAUGAAAAUGGACAAAUUGCCACAAGUUAUGUAAUUUUUCAGUUUUUAAGAAAACAGAAAAUGCAAAGUUCUUUCUUUUACUAGCUAUUUCCAUCACAUUUCCAGCUAGGUCCACCAACCUUAUCAUCAUGUAGACAAAAGCAGAGACCAAAGUUAAAAAAAAGUAGAAAAAUUUGUGAUCAUUCAUUAUUAGACCGUACACAUAUCUAUUCAUGAAUAUAAGUAUGCUUCUUACAUACAAGAGAUUGAUGAUUUUAAUUACAUUGAAAGCAACUUAGUAGAAUUUUCCAAAUCAAAGAGAGAAAUAUUAAGAUCCAAGUAGGAAUUUCUCUAUUCCUAGUUCGAUUCAAUUAACCAAGCAUAAAUAUCUCUUAAUAUACAUGAGAAGUUUAGACUCUAAAAGUCAAAUCAACAAAAUAUUUAUGGGCUAACACAUGAAAAACUAUUGAGAAAAUCGCCUAAUUUCUGUAAAUUGGCCCUUAAAUCUCCAAAAUGAACUCUAAAAAUUGUCAGACUGUACGUAUUGCUCCCCAACUCCCUACUGAGGGUUCUGUAAAGAUUUCGAUUAGAAUUCGUCCGUAAGUCAUAUCACCAAUAUAUUAAUGACUAACACACACGAAAAACUGAGAAAAUUGUCUAAUUUCUUGAAAUUGGCCCCUAAAUGCCUAAAAUGGACUCUAAAAGUUGUGAGACUGUACGUACUGCUCCCCCGACUCCCUACAGAGGGUUUCGUAAAUGUGUAGCAAAGAAAUCGUCUGGAAGUCAUAUCACUAUAAUAUUAAUGGGCUAACACACACAAACCACUGAGAAAGUCGCGUAUUCCUGUAAAUUGGCCCCUAAAUGCCCAAAAUGAACUCUAAAAUUGUGAGACUAUGUACUGCUCCACUAACUCCCUAUGGAGGGUUCCGUAAAGAUUUCACAAAGAAAUUAUUCGGAAGACAUAUCACCAAAAUAUUUAUGGGCUAAUACAUUUUUAUUUGUCCAUUUGAUUUGACAUAUCUUUCAAGUACUUUGAUCUGGUUAUACUUUUUUUUUAUUGCUAAAAAUAAAUAUCCACUUUUACUUGUUCAUUCUACAAAACAAAGACAAUAUUUUAUUGCUUGAUUCAGAUAUAAAAUUUGAGUAGGCUAAUUUACAAACCAUCUGUAGUCAUCCUGCCCCUAUGCUAUAACAUUUGAAAGAAAGAGGUCAUCAUCAUCAUAUUCAUCAUCGUUGUCAUCUUCAUCAUCAUCUUCAUCAUCGUUGUCAUCUUCAUCAUCAUCUUCAUCUUCUUCAUCAUUAUCAUCAUCAUCAUCAUGAUCGUCAUCGUCACUUGUUUCCUCACUGUUGAAAAAGCCAGCAACAAAAGAUGAAAAAUGAAAUGUUAUGCAAGUAUAACAAGUUACACAAUUACUAUAUUGGAAGGAUUUAAAUCAUAUACAAUGACAACGUAUGAACUUUUACACUAUAGGUGCCAUUUAACUGCUUAUUAAAGCAAUUUAUAAUUAUUUUAUUACUAGUUCUGGACACGUGCUUUGCAUGUGUAUAUUACACGUUUAGUCACGAUUGUAAGAGGGUGUACACCAGGAUCAUUCGAAGAGCAAAGUCGUGUGAGCCUUACAGAUAUUCUUGACGUACUCCUAUUAAAAUCUGUAUCAUAUUCGUAACUUUUUGAAUGAGGUUCACCUUUUUCCUCAUUGUACUUUGUACAUGGAUGUUGUCCAUCACAAUAUCCCCUUUUUCAAAUUUCAUAGCUGAACUACUAGGUGUACGAGUUCCUACCAGAACUACUACCAACUAUUUAUCAAAACACACAUCAACUAUAUAUGAGUUGUUCCCUUUUACUAGUGGUGACAAAUAGGUGGAUUUGGACGGGACUGAAAAUGGAUUGAGCAACAUGGUCGUAACUCACUUAAUCUCUUAAAGCCAGAAAACUUUAAAGAGUUAAUUGAAAUAAACUUAAUGACUAUCCUACUUGAAGUAUCACCGUCGUUCAGGUAAGAAAAAGGAAGUAUAUCAAGGAAGAAGAUGUCUUACAAAGCCUGAUGGAUAUGGACCUCGAUAGAACCUCCAUAGUUGUCUUGAAUGUCCUGUUGAAUCUGCUUUGCGGAAUUCCCAACAGAUUCUGGGCAGUUUCUUAUAUAGAUUAGAGCAAGUGUGGUUAUAUCUGCAAAAUCUUGAGGGAUUGAGUCCAAAAACCUGCAACUAUCAAGAAAUAGUCGUUCAAGGCACGGAAAGUGAUCACAACUAGCUCUCCAGUACUGAAUAUGUGAUCUUUUAAGUAACAAGAACUUCAAAAAAGGAAACCCUUCCUCAGCUACUUCCCACUCCCUGCCUCUGCAUACACCCUGUGUUAGUUCAAGAAGUUCAAGUUUGGGCAAUUUUCCGACAACAAUGCUUAAAUCCUUCCAUGACAAGAAGAAAUUUCCUGUAAAAGUUAAAUUCUUAAGGUUUCGUGGAAAAGCAUCUGGAGGAGGUAAGAUCAAAGAUGGAACAACUUCUACAACAAGUGGAUUCCUUGUCUGAAAACACAUUCUCCUCUCCAAAAAGUAAGCAUUAUUUUGAGGAGGAAGACAAAAUGCUAGUUCCUCGAGAUGAUCUAAGUAGCGAAAAUCAUAGAGGUCUUUGUGACUAUGGAAGUCUUGUGGGAUGCCACGUACUUGCAACUCCUUUAAAUUGGGAAAUAGUCUAAAGAAAGAUGCAGUACAAUAGCUAGGAUUCCAUCCAAACAGAGAAUGUAAAUUUUUCAUAACCAAACUUUUCUCUGUAAGCUCAUGAUAUCGCAAGUAAUUCCGAUCCAAAUGAAGGUGCCUCAACUGUGGCAUUGUCAAAAUAUCUGAUGGUAAUAUCAAAGCAUGUUUACGAAGAUUAAUGACGAGUGGAAGGUAAAGUACCAAACUUUGCAGAUAGCAUAGGUUUGAUAUGGAUGUAGGAAUGUCUACUCUUGAUGAGAGAACAUCUUCUUCGGAUCCUAGAUAUUGCUCAACGUUAGGAUAAAUACGCAAAGCUAGGUGUCUUAAGUGAAUCAAAUAAAGUAUUUCACGGGGAAAAGUUAGACAGAUAUUAUCAGCAAGAUCUAGAACUCUUACUAGCUUGAACGGCAAGUACUCCCUCAUGCAACAUCGGAAUCUACCAAAUAAGAUAACAGAAUGAGCUUCACUGUUAAGGCACCUAACAUACUCUUUCUUAUUAUGGAUGCUGAUUCGACUUCGACUCUUAGACAAACACUGCAUGGAUUUCACAUAUGAAUUUUGAUCAUUCUUUCUUCUGAGAACAUUCACAAAAUUCAUGUUACGAGCUUCCAUCAAACAGAGUUCACGAGUCAUAUCAUGAAUUCCACAACACUUAAUUUUUCCAUCAAAAGUAGUACUUUUAAUGGAAAUUAAACUUCUAUCAAUAAGAUCUUGUAGGUACUUUUCUGCCACUUCUUCUAUGCUUUUCAUCUCUUCUACCUUCAAAAAUCCCUCUGUUUCCCACAAUAUCAUAAGUUUAUUGACAAAAAUCAGUUUAUCCUCUGGGAAGAUUGCGAAAUAUAAAAAGCAUGGUUUUAGGUGGUGAGGCAAGUAAUGGUAACUCAUUGCCAACACCCUCAUGCAUUGGACACCAACAUCUGUGCUUACUGCUGAACUUACAUUUUCAGCAACACUUUGCCACUCACUCAAUGCUUUGUCAAUUUUAGUGAGAAGUCCCGCGAUCACAACAAUUGCUAGAGGCAAUCCUCCGCAUUUCAAUGCAAUUUGCUUUCCAAGUUGUUCAUAUUCAGGGGAGAAAGAGUCUUUCGUAAAGACUUUUUCAUAUAAUAAAUUCCAACUUUCGUCAAAAUUCAUGAGGCGCAUGUGAUGAGGAAGCUUACCUGAGCUAGCAUAUUCAGCCACUUCCACAUUCCGAGUAGUCAAGAGUAUUCGGCUUCCAUUAUGAAAGUCUGGGAAACAUAUUUGUAUAUCAUCCCAAGCUUUUGUAGUCCAUAUGUCAUCAAUGACUACCAAAUAUCUCUUGCCUUUUAGAAGCUUUUGCAGUCGAUCUGCUAGUUGCCCGUCAUGUAGCUGAUCAUAAGGUUUAUCACUUAUACAAGAAAGAAGGUCUAGGAAAACAUUUCUCACACAAUACUCUUGUGAAACAGUAGCUUUUGCACGUAUGUCAAAGCGAUACAUCAUGCAUGGAUCGUUGUAGAGUUUUGUUGCCAAAGUUGUCUUGCCAAUGCCUCCCAUACCUACAAUUGAUACAACUUCUAGUUCUCUUUCUCCUCUAGCAAGUUGAUCCAGCAUCAUCUUGAAUUCAUUUUCAUAGCCAACCAUUAUAACCUCGGACCGCUCAACAGCAAGUUCAGGUAUCUUGGAUAGACAGAAAUUUUGUGCUUUGAAAUCUUUAAUGUUGUUGUACCAGUCCCAUAUUGCCAACCACUGCAUCAUGAAGGAAUCAAUACAUUCUACCUCUUGUUCCAAGGAACAACAGAGUUCCCAGAAAGCUUUGCUUCGUGUAAUUACAGUUUCUGCAGAAGAAACUUUUCUUGAUUUCGAAUCAACCAUGUCUUCUGCUUUGAAUGCUACCUCCGUGAUUUCAACUUCCAAGGUUGUUAACCCCUCAUGAUCGCCCGUUAUAUUGCAGGAUUUCUCUAGAAUAGCUCUCAAAGAUUCGAGCUUUUCAUAAAACGGUUGCAAAUCACAUCCAUUAAGUUCCAUUGAUUGGUGUAUGGUUCUCAUAAGGGAAGUAACAGCAGCAUAAGCCAUAUAUCCAAAAAAUAGGAAUCUCUCACUCUCAGUAUGAAAAUGGACAAAUUAAUUGCCACAAGUUAUGUAAUCUUUCUUUUACUAACUAUUUCCAUCACAUUUCUAGCUAGGUCCACUAACAGGAUAAAGUAGAAAGAUGUGAGGUCACUAACCUUAUCAUCAUGAAGACAAAAGAAGAGACCAAAGUUAAAAAAAAAAAAAGACGAAAAAGUAGAAAAAAUUGUGAUCAUUCAUUAUUAGACCCUACACUAAUCUCUUCAGAAAAAUAAAAUAAAAUUUUAGUUUAAAUAAAGGAAUUCAAGCUGUAUAUUGAUAACGUCCAAUUCAAAUUCAAGUGUAGUACGGUCUAGCAAUAAUAAACUCAACAAAAGUUGGAGUCGAGGAGUACGCUUGUGUCAAGGUGACAGAGAGUGUGCGAAUUUGCUAACAAACAAAAGGUCUUUCUUUUAGCUAGGUCCAUAAUCCAUGUAGUGCUCUAUACUCUCUAGUCUCUAUCAACCAGCUCAAGUUUAAGGGUGUGUUUGGUAUGGAGGAAACAUUUUCUCUAGAAUAGGGAGAGAUUUGUGCAUAAACAAGGAAGAAUCUCUCAGUAUAACAGUGAAUGGGUAUUUUUUUAAGAUUUGCUUCUUUUGUGUAUGACUUUUGUAAGAAACAUUCUGGUAAAAGUUAAAAAAAAUGAUCUUGUGGAAUAGCCACAGUGAAUUCCUUAAUAUUCGAGUAGAAAAAGCCAGAGAGGAUAACAUUGCUAUUUGUACACUUAUCGUGACACGAGUAGUCUCUUAAAUAUUACACCUUUCUACUGAUGUUGCUGAUGCCACUGGAUUUAGCCUUCCGUCUUCCUUUGCAAGGUAGAUCGAGGACUCCCAAGAAAGGAAACACAAGUUACUGGAGUCUGUUCUGGCCUAUACAGUAUGUAUGUACAUAAAAUUUGGAGUAUCUAAAAACCACUGACAAAUGGCUAUACGAAAGAUCAUAUACAAUUAAAUUACAAGCCAUUUGCAAUCAUCCUGCCCCUUUAUGCAGAAUCUUUUCAAAGAAAAUGAAAACGAACAAAACAAACACUCACACAUUUGGCUUCUGAUUUGACAUUUAUUUCAGAGAACUGGCUAGUCGCUGCAGGAAAAAAAAAGACGCAAAAAAUGGAAAAUAAUAUGUUAGAUGUCCCAUAAUUAAGGAACAAGAGAACAUUAUAGCAAGAAUGAGCAUGCAGGUAUAAGAACUUACACAUUAUUGCGGCAAGAAGCAACUUCUUUCUCAAAGUCAUCAUCAUCAUCUUCAUCUGUUGUUACACUAUCGAAAAUGCUAGCUACAAAAGAUGAAAAAUGAAAUGUUACACUUCCCAAAAUCAAGAAUGAGCAUGCAAGUAUAACAAGUUACACAAUAUUGGAAGGAUUCGAAUCAAUCACAAUGACAGCAUCAAGAACUUUUGUUGAAUUGGUGUAAUUUGACUUACUAAAGCUAUUAUCCAGAUUAUUAUCGAGUUUACUAUAAUGAUGAGUUAAAUAUUGUUGUAAAUCAAGGAAGAAGAUGUCUUACUAAAGAUUACGAGUAUGGACCUCGAUAGAGCUUCCAUAGUUGUCUUGAAUGUCCUGUUGAAUUUGCUUGGCGGAAUUCCCAACAGAUUGUUGACAGUAAUGUAUAUCAAUAAGAGCUAGUGUGGUUAUAUCUGCAAAAUCUCGAGGGAUUGAAUCCAAAUACUCGCAAUUUCUAAGAAAAAGUCGUUCAAGGUACGGAAAGUGAUCACUACUAGCUCUCCAGUACCGAAUGUAUAUUUGAUCCAGAAACAAGAACUUCAAGUGAGGAAACCCUUCCUCAACUACUUCCCACUCCUCGCCUAUGACGGCAUUGUGUGAUAGUUUAAGGACCUCGAGUUUGGGUAAUUUACCAACAAUGCUCAAAUCCUUCCAUGCCAAAAGGAAAUCUCCUCUAAAAGUUAAACUCUGGAAAAGAUUAAUUAACAAAAAUUUAUGGUACUAAUUGGGGUAUUAAUUAACAUAUCCUUACUUGAUCACAUAUGUAUUGUUCUGUGUGAAAUUUUCCUCUGACUGAUAGUUGACUAAAUUAUAUUGCAUACGUUCGUGUACAUUUUCUCACUUGGAAGAGUGGAUUUGGACGUAAUUAACUAUCACCAUCGUUUAGGUAGAAAAAAGAAAAUAACUAAUAGUUGAAUGUUUUAAUACAUAGAUGAUCAACUAAUAUGAGAAGAAAAGAGUAGCGUAAAUGUGAGAUUCACUUCUCACCAAGAAUCCUCCUUUCUUAUUAUUUUCCUUUUAGAGGUUAAUAAUUAUUAAGUAUCCCUAGAAUAAUUUAUUGAAAAAGUAGAUUUGAAAGAAAGCAAUUACUCUCUUCUUCCUAUGCGGGACUUCUUGAACAUAACUAAUUUGACAAAAACCACAAUUUUAUUUAUUUUUAGGUGGAAUUAUAUCAAUAAGGAACUAUAUAUGCUUAUGAUAUUAAUCUAAGACCAUUAUUUGUUACUUGAACACAUGGAUUCAUCAUCUGAACAAUUGAAACAAUUAAUACUUGUGUGAACCUUUUUUUAUUUCGAGUGAUGUGUCAUAAUCAUUAGCCAACUAAGACUAGCGUUAAAUUUUUGGUAAGUCUCAAGAAGUGUAAUUAAUACUUAAUAAAAUAAUCUCAUCCUUGAGAUUCAAGAACUUGUUUGGAUUGAAUAGGUUUUUAUCAUCAAGAUCUAGAACAAAGUCUUAAUAUUAGUAAGAGGUAUUUUUGUGUGAAAAGUUUUCUUUGAGGUUCGAGAAAUGGAAUAGAUAUGGACUACAAGUUGAUAUUUCCCAUUGGAAAAUUCACACAAAAAGGAACAAGGAAUUCUCAAUGAAAAAAGCGCUCUCCAAAUCUGUUUAGUAUUUGUCAUGAGGUUCUUAUCAUAAUUGGAUUUUCCUUUUAGGAAAAGGUAAACACAGUCUCCAUAUUUGUCUAGUUCUUUUUCUUGUAGGAAAAAAAUUAUGACUCUAUAAAUAGAUGUUUUGUAACAUCCGACAAUUUGAAAUAGCUAAGAAGAGGCUUGAAAUUUGGAAAUUUUCAAUUUUUGGAAAGGAUUUGAAAAUCUGGAAAAUUUGGCUAAGUAUGGGAAAGGUGAGUUUUUUUGGGCCCAAACUUUGAACAACCAUAAAUUCUAGCUCAGGAUGAGUUAGGUGGAGUUCCGGUUAUGUUUGCAUAGCCCUCGGAACGACCUUUCCAACGCCACUGAGUUUGCUCAAUUCUGAGUUCGUAUGAGCGAGUUAUGGCCAUUGAAAGUUGGGCAGUUGGCAGGGAAUCCGUCCGGAAAAUUAAGGGCAUUUUAGUCUUUUCCCUAGCCAAUUCUUUUGGGAUUAUAUUGUUGUAUAGGGCUGAUCUUUAGAUCAUUUUGUCCCAUUUUAAGAAAUUAAAAUCUAGGGCUUGAGAGUGAAGAAGAGAAGAAGGAGAAGAAGAAGAGAAAAAUCGAGGAGAUCAACAAGUUUCCGACAAGAUCAUCGUGAAUGUUCGUCGGGGGUGAUCCCUAUCAAGGUAUGUGAGCUUUUAGUGUUGGGUGAUACUUUCCCCCACACACCUAGCCCCUUUUAUUUAUUAAGGAAGGAUUGGUUAUGUUGUUAAAGUUGUUAGUUGUUGUGGUUGAAGUUGUUGGAGUUGUUAAAGUUGUUAGUUGUUGUUGUUGGAAUUAUUGUUGGUGGUGGGACAUAAUUGAGUUGUGUUUUUAUGUUGAAAUCUAUUGAAUGUUGAGGGAUUUUAUGUUUCUAAGUGAUUGGGGGCUGGAAUCUUUGAGGUUAGAGGGUUUAGAGUUGGUAACGUGAAGGAGAAAGUCGGGUAGCUUGCGAGGAGCAUGUCUGCGUCGCGGACUUGUUCCUCUGUGAACAAAAAAUCUUCUCCGCGUCGCGGACAGGACGCAGACUCCACUGUUUUCAGAAUUUAUGUUCGAAGAUUUUCUUAGGUUUGGCUGUCCCAAAUCAUUCGCAAAUCAUUCCUAAACAUCAUGAGACCCUUCCAAACACCAAUCAAGUCCUUGAAUCCAUAAUCCAAUUCAAGGUGAGUUAUGAUCAAGUCAAGUGAAGUUAGUUUUCAAGUCAAGUGAAGUUAGAAGUCAAGUGAAGUUAGAGCCAAGCUUAGAAGUUAAGCAAGUCAAAGCAAGUCUUUAAAGCUUUUCAAGAGUCUUCAUUGAACGUUUUGACUUCAUUCUAAGGCUCAAGUUCCAAGUUAAGUAUAGAGUUUCAAGUCAAGCAAAGAGUCUCAAGUUUCAAGUUAAGUAAAGAGUAUCGAGUUUCAAUUUAAGUCAUAAUUUUUCAGUCAAGAGUCAAGAGUUGAGUUCAAUUCUCAAAAGUAAUUAGGGAACUAAGUAUUUCCCAAAGAAGUUUUAUAAGUGUUUUCACAUUUAAGUUGAGAGGAAACGGAGAUUUCCAAAAGAGUUUUGAGAAGUUUGAGCACUAUCUCUUUUAAAAGAAAAGAUGAGUUUUUGAAAAAGAGUUUCUAAAUUAUGAUUAGUAUGACAAAUGGAGUAUGUCAUCAAUGUUUAAACAGUAUGGUCUCUAGAUAUACCAUCAAUGUUUAAGCAGUAUGAAUAUCCCGAGUCAUCAAUGAUCAUAAAAAAAAAAAAUGUGGUUUUGACUUGUUCUAUUUAGAAAGAGUUUUCAAGUGCCUUCGGGCUAAGUUUUGAGUAAUUAUCUCAACUAAAGAAAGAUGUGCUUAAAACACUUAUGAGCUAAAGUAUUUUGGGAGUAGUAUCGAGCACCGAAUUGGGGAAACGAGUUCAUAUUAAACUCAACUCUCCAUAAGAACCAUGUAGCCAAACAUGGGAUUUCUCGGAUCAUACUUUUUAGAUGAUCACGAAAGUUAAGCUAGUGGAUCCAUUAAGCAAAAGUUAAAGUAAGGUCCUAUAUCGAUGGCAAGGUAUAGGAUGGUCCUUGGGCAACGUGAGGUAAAACGUUGUAUCACCACUCAGAUUCAUAGUGGUGGUUUGUCGGUUAGAGAAGCUCCCACAGUAGAAAGAGCAUGGUUCCUCGAGGGUUCUGCUUAGUAUGGAUGGGGGUAUGGGACUUCAUUCAUGCAUUGCACAAGUAGACUUUGAGAGGAAGCAUGGUAUUUUUAUGAUAUUAUAAAUAUGAUUUUUACGUCAUGUUUUAAUAGUUUCAAAAGCUUUAUAUAUAUUGCAUGUGUCUCAUUGCUUUAUAUUAAGUUCAGUUAUUCUUGAGUUGUACAGAGCCAAGGUAAGUUCUCUUUUGUAUCCCUUUUCAAGCUUAAGUUGUUGUUUAGCGGUCCAGCUCGCAUACUCGUACAUUCCAUGUACUGAUGCCAGUUGGCCUGCAUCUUAUGACGAUGCAGACACNNNNNNNNNNNNNNNNNNNNNNNNNNNNNNNNNNNNNNNNNNNNNNNNNNNNNNNNNNNNNNNNNNNNNNNNNNNNNNNNNNNNNNNNNNNNNNNNNNNNNNNNNNCAGUCAGUUAGUUUUGAGUCUCUCAUCUAUGUAUAUAUGUAAAUAUUCUAUUUUGAGACUCGAGUGGCCUUUUUGGCCAGAUGUGUAUCAUUUAAGUUGUUUAUGUCUUUGCAUGGCAUUGAGUUAUUCUGUUGAGUAGGUUUCCGCUGAGUUAAGAAAGCCAGGCCAAGGGUUCGCUUGGGGCCAGCAAUGGUCUCUGAGUGCCGGUCCCGCCCAGGGUGUAGGCUCGGGGCGUGACAUGUUUAUUCAUUCUAGCUUGGUAGCAUUCAUAAUGCAAUCCUAGGGGGCUUUGAGAGUUUUGUGUAUUGUGUGAAGCUAGAGGAAGAAUGUAUGAGACACAAGUAUUACUUUAACACUUGUGUGAACCUCUUUGUAUUCAGAGUGAAUUGUGUGAGGUUAUUCUUCUCUAGAUUUUAUAGUGAUUUUUUCAUCUCCUCUUGUGGAUGUAGAUCGGUUGACCGAACCACGAUAAAUGUUUGUGUCUUUUGAUAUAUUUCUUGUUUGUCUUAUUACUCAUCGUCUUUCAAGGUUUGCUUUGCUAGCUUUUGCAUGACACCUAAUUAUUUCAGUCCCAACAAGUGACAUCAGAGUCAGGUUCAAUGGUUUAAUGAUUCAAUGGUCGAACCAUGUUAAAAAUAAGUGUUCAUCUUGACGGGUUUAGUUCUAGCCGUAACAUAUUUGACAGUAAUGAAGAUUUUUGUUGGAGAAAUAUUUUCAAAGAUGUUUUCUGUGUUGAUAUAUAUAUAUAUAUAUAUAUAUAUAGAUUUUGCAGAGGAGAUGCAAGGUAUUGAAGAUUAUGUGAAGAAGGUGGAUCAAAUUUAUUUUGUCAGAAAUUUAGGCCAAUGGAGAUAUUUGUUUAGUAUUUGUCAUGAAUUUCUUAUCAUAAUUGGGUUUUUUCUUUUAGAAAAAGGAAACCACAAAGUUUCCAUAUUUGGCUAGUUCUUUUUCUUGUAGGAAAAUGUUUGACUCUAAAAUUAUAUGUGUAUUCCUUCUAGCCUAAUAGCAUUUACAAUGUAGUCCUAAGGGGCAUAGAGAGUUUUGUGUAUUGCGUGUAGCUAGGGGGAGAAUGUGUGAGACACAAGUGUUACUUUAACACUUGUGUAAACCUCUUUGUUUUUCCAUUGAAUUGUGUAAGGUUAUUCCUCUCAAUAUUUUGUACUUUCUUUUAUAUAGUGAAUUGCUCAUAUCCUCUUUUGGAUGUAGGUCGGUUGUCCGAACUACGUUGAAUAUUUAUGUCUUUUGGUAUAUUUUUCGUUUGUAUUAUUACUCAUGGUCUUUCAAAAUUUGCUUUGCUAGCUUUUGCCUGAUACCUAAUAAUUUCAGUCCCAACAAAACCAAACGUGAAAGUUGUUUUCCAGCAGACAACUUUUCUAGUAGCUCUACUCUCGACUUGGAUAAUUUAACCAAAAAGGUACGCUUUCGGCCAUUCUACAUGCUGCCUAUGUAGAGACAUGUUUAUCUAAAGUGGAUUCUCUUUUUUGUAGUAGGUAUCAAACCUGUUAUGCCCAUUGACUAAGAAGCUAGGGGUGGACACAACAACUACAUGGACCUCUUUCUUACAUCGGCCAUCACUAUUAAUCGUCUUUGUUAUCACAAUGACCACCACUAUUACCGUCAUCAAACAUCUCUGUCCUCACAAUUACCAUUAUUAUCAACCACUACUAUAUAUCAAACAUUUGCUAUAUUUAUGUUUUUUAUUGACAUAAACAAUGGGUUAACAUGAUAUAAUUUAUUAGUAGUUUUAUAUAUUUUUCUUAUAAUAAAGGAAACAAUCACUUAUACAUUCUUUGAGAUCAUUUAGUUUAAAAUCAGGAGUGGAAUCAUAACUAGGGUUAUAGCUUAGCAUCAAUUCACCUUCUUAAUUAAUGGGAUAAUUUAAUUAGCUAAAUUUGAAUGAAAAGAAGAAGAAAUUGAUUAAUUUAAUUCGUUUACGUUCCAAUGGGGUGUGCAAUAUCCAUAAAUUUGUCAUGUCGUUAUUAGGUGUUCAUGAGAUGCACAUAUUCCAAGCAAAAGUACCUAUUUGAUCACUAGAUGAGUUUAAGUAUUCAAUUUACAAAUUCUGCCAAAUUUGAGGGACUAUCUAGGUAUUAUUUAGAUAAAAUUAUUUGUAUAGUCCACUCUAAACAUACUUAUAAUUAAGCAAGUAACAUAUACUAUAUAAAGAAGCUUCUAGAGAUAAUUAAAGUUAACUCUAUAUAAUUAGAGUUGCAAUAACAAAUACGUCAAAACAUUAAAGUGUUUCACCAAUAAAGUCAUUUUUUUAAUGUCCAAAACUAAUCCAAUGGAAGCUCUAUUAUGUGGAACACCAGAAGAAGUUUCAGUAUUGUUGGUACAUCAUGAAGUAGAAUUUCUUACUAAUCAGACUGUUAAAUUGUUAGAGGCUUAUAAAUACAAAGGUGACAUUCUAGAAUUUUUUUAACUUUUUUGUUUCUUUGAUAUAAUAACUAAAUGCCGUGUGACAUUUUUUUUUAUAUAUAGAGAGAGAUUGAAAUGAUAUGCUUUUUGUUAUCUCAUUUAUGAUUUUAGCAUCGUCCAUUUUUAAAUUUCAUUUAUCUUGUAAAUCUUGAACUUUUCUUUUUCCUUGUUAUCAUAGCACUUUUUAAUUUUUACAAAUUUAUCUAUCCUCGAAGAAAAAUAAUUCUACAUUAGUGAUGGAUGCACAAGAAAUUAGGAUGACGGGAGGGAAGAGAAAGAGCACGAAAAAGACAUGAUAAGAGAUGAUCUGUCUAUCAUUAUUACUUGAGAUAAUAUUUUUUUGUCUUUUAUUGGAUGUAUAAAAAAAAAUGAGGAGAUCUAAUUUUCAUUAAAAAAACAUUUCCCUUUCUAUUUUUUGUUUUUGUUUUUCGUUGGACGUAGACAAAAAAUUGGCAACUCCUUUCUUAUACUUUGUUAGAUCAUCUAAUUACAUAUCUAUGAAAUAAAAUUACCUCAAAACAUUUUAUCCUAUUAUCUUUUGCUUUAAUAUUUAUUUGUUUUUGACAAGCCAUAAAUAAAUUGGAAUAGUUUUUAGAAAUAUAUUCUUUAGGAUCUUCUCUAGUUUUUAGUAAUCCAAUUAACGAAAAAAAAAAACUAAUAUAUACUUUUUAUGUAACCAAUCUAGUUAAGAUUGCACUCAUCAUUUAUAAUAUAAGUUGAUUAAUAUGUGUUAUUUUAAAAAUUAAAGUGCAGAAAUAUAACAUGAAAAUUCACAGUUGAAUUUGAAUAACAAACAAACAUAUCCAAAUGAUACCUUUGUGUACAAUAUUUUUUUUUUCAUAAUUUUCACUGAUUUCAAAUUGCACGGGUAUAUGUAGUUACGGAAGUUAUGGCUCCUGCGGCAAUGUCAAUGCUUUUCAAAGAAAAGAAAAAAAUUGAUGCAAUGAUAAUCAAGGUCAUUUCACCGGAUUCACAUUGCUUUGAGCUCCUGGCACAAGCUGUAACCUUGAACAUCAUCGUAGUAAGUAAGUAUUUAUAAUUCUAUCUUCCACUUAUUAUUAUAGACGGUAAAGUAAGUUUUUUUAAUUAACUAUUGCAUAAUGUAUAUAAUAUUAUUCAAUUUUAAUUGCUAUCUUCUUGAUAUAAUUAUGCAGUUGUCUAUGAUGAACUCAAUGAAUUCUUAGUGAAGAAAGCUUUGGACAAUGGAGCUUACAUUUGCUCGAAGAAGCCUCUUGUCGAGCAAACUAUGACAUUCUUGUGGCAAUUUGUAUGGAGGGAGAAAACACAAAGAGGGAAAUCAAUAAAAAGAGUAGAAACAAAGGGAGAUCAUAUUUUUGUUUGAAGUUAUUGGAGUUCUGAGAAAACAAUAGGUCGUGGUUUUUUCCUCCCUUGAGCAAAGAGGUUUCCACGUUAACAUAUGUGUUCUUACUUUAAGCAUUUAGAUUACUUCUUGUUAUCAGUAUAGUCAAGUGGUCAGAACACGAGAAGACAUGUCACUAAACAACAACAUAUAUAGGAAAAAACAAACUCUGCUAAGUGAUCGAUCCGUGUGUGAUAGUUGCCUUCUUAACCUUGAACUAUUGCUUCCUGCUAGAUUAUAUGAACUUAGAUAUGUAUACAAAUUAGUAUUCAAUGAGUUCCCAAACAUUCGUGCAUAAACAAUUUCCCCUGUUGUCGUGCCACCAGGACUUAGCAUAUGUUCUGUAUUUGUAUAAUUUCGAUGAUGAUCAUGAGAUUGCUGGGAUAAUGGAGGCAUAUUAUUAUUGUGUAUUAGACCGUGACUCCUACAUCUCGAACUAGGAGGUCUUUGUGGUAUGACUAUACCAAAAUUCUAUACCAAAAUUCGGGGCCUUAAUUUCAGAUGUUUUUGUAGCUUGACAGCGACCAUAGAGUGGAAUCAAUGUUUUUUGUGAGACUUCAGCUUUGCAAACAGGGCAAUUUGGUUGUUGGUUAUCGAUGUUCUCUGAUGAAAUGGUCUUAAAAUGUAUCCAUUUGUAGAUGCAAGGCCAACAAUAGGAGGUGACCACAUAAUGUAACAACAGGAUCAUGUACAACAUCUAGGCAAAUGUUGCACUCGAAACCUCCAGGUGAAUUUUCUUCAAGUUUAUCAAGAUCAAUUGUCUCCAUUUUUCAAAGGAAAUAUCGCGUUGAUCAAAGGUAGUUUCUGCUAUUUGGUCUUGAAAAAUUUGUUCUAAGGCCAUAUUUGCCUCUUGGUAUUGAAUUAUUUUGGUAAUGGCAAGAUGAAGAAUGGUUAGAAUUCAGGUUUUUAAUACAAUUAGAAGUGAGUAUUUAUAAGGACAAAGAAUAGUAGUUUGCAAACAAUGAUUCUUAAGGUUGUCACUUGUCAACAUCACAUUAUGUUAAAGGGGCAUGGCCAAAAAGAAAAGGCCCUACACAUUAUUAAACAACACUAUAUCAUAUUACUCAACAGUCUUGAUUUAUGGGGUAUUGUUUGAUUUGAUAUAACAUUUAAUAAGAAAAUGAAGACUUUUAAAAUAUGUACUGUAUUAAAGAUAAAAAAUAAAUUUUAAGUUUUUCGAUCCUAGAAAUGAUAUUCUUUUUAUAUUAAGACUAAAACAAAUGUUUUACAUAAAUUAAGAUAGAUGAACUAUCAAACACAUCAUAAUUAAGUGAUUUAAUGAAGUCAAAAAUAAAUAUUAAUGGAUCAUGGUUAAGUGAGAGGAGUUUUGUGCAAACACGUCUUUUAUCUAUCUAUUUGAUUUAAACAAGCAUAAGUUUUAUCAUAUUAGAAAUAUGAUUAGGACCUUAUAUUAGGCCCCAUGAUAGGAAUCUUAAUCUAGAAAAUAACUUUUAGUCAAUAAAAAGUAGCACUAGUUGCGUACAAGGAGCUACCACUUGAUGACCUUCCACACUUCCACAUCCCAUAAGUUCAAUAGUUUUCACACUAUAAGAACUAGAUGUUUUUUUCCGCGUGAAUCAAUAAAAUUUUUAGUUUUAUGUUAUAAAACAUGAUUUUUUUCAUUUUGAUUUUAUUAAACUAAUUCACUAAGAAAAUUCAUAACGAAACAUAAGUUCUCAUUGAAAUACUGGAAAUAGUCACUUGGAAAUUUAUGAGUUUUAGGAAAUUAUGCAUCAAAACUUAGAAAGACGCGGCUCAUAUAGAAAUUUGUUGUUAAAUCAUAAUAUAUACUUUUACAUCUGAAUAUCUUUAUUGAUUUGGUUAAAAUUAUAAUUAAAAAAAUUACAAUACAAUAUAUAUAGAUUCACAUAAAUUUAAUACUGUAAGUUCAAUUAUUAUUCAAUUAUUAUUAUGAUAUAUUAAUCUAAAAUUAUUAUAGAAGCUUCUAAACUCUAAAUUCAGAUCCAACUAAGGAGUGAAUAUACAUAGUGGGGGUCUGGGGGAUGGGAGAAAACAUAUGGACGGUGUGACAAAUAAAUAAAAGAAAUACUCCGUCCAUUCCAUUUGACUUAGUAUUGUUUGACUUAAUACGAUGUAUAAGAGAAAAAAAAGAUUUUAGAAAAUUAUAGGCUAAAACAAUUUUUAUAUAUUUAUAUAAUUGUAAAUCAUUUCAUUAAUUAAGGGUAGAUGGAGAAUUUUAAGUUUAAUUAUUUUCAAUUACAAUAAAAUGACAUUUUUAAAGACGGAUUAUGAGAAUAGAGUGCCACGUAAAAUAAAACGAGAAAAUACUACUCCCUCCUUCCCAUUUUAUAUGUUACCUUUUUACUUUACAUUUACAUUAAGAAAUAAUGUAACUUUACCCUUCUACCCUUAUUUAAUGUUUUCUUAAGUUAACUUUAUAACUCCCUCCGUCCCAUUUUAUAUGUCAUCUCUUUCUAUAAAUAGUUGGACCACAAUACUUGUCAUUUUAUAAAAUUUAUGUAUAAAUUACCAUAUUUUACCUAUUAUAUCCUUGAUAGAGUAGUUAAUUAAUCUUGAAAAUAUAUUCAUCAUUUAUUAUAAAUUGACUUAAGAAAAUAUUAAAUAAGAAUAGAAAGAUAAAAUUACAUCAUUUCUUAAUAAAAGUAUAAAGUAAAAAUGUGACGUAUAAAAUAGAACGGAGGGAGUACUACAAAAGAACGAGUCCGCACAUGCAUUAUACAAGUACUACAUGUGUCUCGAAUUUAGCAGCCUUUUGUCAACUUUUUAUAUUUUGGCUUACUUGGAAGCAAGUCUAUCCUCUCCUAUACAAUCAAUUAGGGUGGCCAUUAAUCAUAUAUUAUUAGGCUAAAGAUAACAUAUUGCUCCCUCCGUUUUUAAUUAUUUAUCCAUUUUUUUAGUUAUUCCUAAUUACUUGUCUAUUUUUACAAAUCAAGAAAGAACAAUUUUUUUUACCUAUUAUACCGUCAAUUUAUUACUUUGAAAAAAGUAGAACUUUUUGAAAAUCUUGAGUUUUUAAUUCAUCCACUUCAUAAUUAAUAUGGAUAAAAUGGUAAACUCACUAUUUCAAUAAUUGUUUUCUUAAUAGGUGUGCCAAUUCAAAAAUGGACAAGUAAUUAGGGAUAGAGAAAGUAUAUCGAAAUAAUAUAAUAAGAUAUUAUGCUAAAGAUAAUUAACAAAACUUUGAACAAUUAUAAAUAAGAUAGCAAAAAAAUCCAUAGUAAAUUAACAUGGUUCAACGAUUAGUGAUGGAAUCUGAAUAUGAUUCAGGAUUUUCACUAUUAAUGAAAUUCAAAAGGAAUAAUACAUAAAUGUGCCCUUUAACUUGACUUCAUUUUAUGUUUAUGUCCUUCAACUUUGGGUAUACACAAAUAUGCACCUAAACUUGUAUAAAGUUGAACAACUAGACACAUGAGUCCUACAUGACACAAUACACAUAAGAUACCACGUAGGAUAAAAAAUGCCAUGUAGGACAUGUGUGUCUAUUUUUUCAACUUUAUACAAAUUUAAAUAUCUACUUGUGCACACCCAAAGUUGAAGGGCAUAAAUGUGAUUUGAAGCCAAGUUAAAGGGUAUAUUUAUGUAUUAUGCCUAUUCAAAAUAUGAAUAAAUAAACAUAUAAAUUAGCUGACUACAAUAAUAGACAGAUAAAAAAUAAUUUUAACUAUAUGUAUAAAUAAUAUAAUUUUUCAUCGAAAGAGGUUCAUCUGAUUCCUCACUACUUUCUCUCAUUCAAAACUAAGCAAUAUGAGACUUUCAUGUCACAUGGAACCCUUUUUUUUUUUUUUGGAAAUCUCAGUAGUUCAGUUAAUUGACUGACUAUCUGAAUUCUCGAUUUCCCAUGUUGUAAUCCUCUACCCCAAUUUUUUUAUUACCUUCCUCACAUAUGUAUAAGACCGAAUCCAAAUAUCUAAGAUGAGAGAAUUUUGGGAGAGCCACCGACUCCAACUACUGCCAUAUAUUAUCCAUAUUAGAUUUGACCAACUAUCCAUCCUACCCUCCUCUACGUUCUUGACAACCCAUUUUUGUCUUAGUCAAGUCUUUUAGUGGCACGUUUUGAUCCUCUUUUCAAUUACUUAGAAAAAGUGAGUUAUUAUUCAGAUACAAAAUACUAUCAUUAUCGCCUAAAAAAUUAGACAUUCAACCCGUAAUCACAAUGAUCCAAUUACAAAAGCUCCGAACCCCCUAGGUCUAGACUGGCUCUGGCCCUAGUUUUAUCUCUUGACCUUCACAUGAGUAAACUCGUUGAUAUAGAGGAUUACAGUAUUGAUUUCUUUAAAAGAAAAAAACCUUAAUUUAAGGUAUGGAGGCCUAGAAAGGAAACACACGUUAUAUAUGGAGCCUGUUCUGGCCUAUACAGUAUAUAUGUACAUAAAAUUUGGAGUAUCUAAAGAACCACUGACAAAUGGCUACGAAAGAUCAUAUACAAUUAAAUUACAAGCCAUUUGCAAUCAUCCUGCCACCUUAAGCAGAAAAAAUGAAAACGAAUAAAACAAACACUCACACAUUUGGCUUCUGAUUUGACAUUUAUUUCAGAGAACUGGCUAGUCCUCAGAACACCUUAACUACUCGCUGCAGAAAAAGAAAAAAAAGACGCAAAAAAUGGAAAAUAAUAUGUUAGAUGUCCCAUAAUUAAGGAACAAGAGAACAUUAUAGCAAGAAUGAGCAUGCAGGUACGUAUAAGAACUUACACAUUAUUGCGGCAAGAAGCAACUUCUUUCUCAAAGUCAUCAUCAUCAUCAUCAUCUUCAUCUGUUGUCACACUAUCGAAAAUGCUUGCAACAAAAGAUGAAAAAUGAAAUGUUACACUUCCCAAAAUCAAGAAUGAACAUGCAAGUAUAACAAGUUACAAAAUAUUGGAAGGAUUCGAAUCAAUCACAAUGACAGCAUCAAGAACUUUUGUUGAAUUGAUGCAAUUUGACUUACUAAAGCUAUUAUCCAGAUUAUUAUCGAGUUUACUAUGAUGAUGAGUUAAAUAUUGUUGUAAAUCAAGGAAGAAGAUGUCUUACAAAAGAUUCACGAGUAUGGACCUCGAUAGAGCUUCCAUAGUUGUCUUGAAUGUCCUGUUGAAUUUGCUUGGCGGAAUUCCCAACAGAUUGUUUACAGUCACUUAUAUCAAUAAGAGCUAGUGUGGUUAUAUCUGCAAAAUCUCGAGGGAUUGAAUCCAAAGAAUAGCAAUCUUUAAGAAAAAGUCGUUCAAGGUACGGAAAGUGAUCACUACUAGCUCUCCAGUACCGAAUGUAUACUCUAUCCAGAAACAAGAACUUUAAGUGAGGAAACCCUUCCUCAACUACUUCCCACUCCUCGCCUAUGAAGGCAUUGUCUGAUAGUUUAAGGACCUCGAGUUUGGAUAAUUUACCAACAAUGCUCAAAUCCUUCCAUGCCAAAGAAAAUUUUCCCCUAAAAGUUAAACUCUUAAGGUUUUGUGGAAAAGCAUCCGGAGGAGGUAAGAGUAAAGUUGGAACAUCAGUUGGAGGUGCAGUUCCCCCGAAACGAGUCUGAAACCUCAGAGGAUCUUGCGGAGUAGAACCUGAAGGUGCAGUGUUUUUUAGAAAGCAAGCAAUAGGUGAAUAAUAAAUACCAAAUGUCAAUUUCUCGAGCUGAUAUAAGUAGCGAAAAUCAUACAGGUCCUUGUGAUUGCGAAAGUCCUCUGGGACGCCAAAUACUUUCAACUUCUUUAAAUUGGGAAAUAGUCUAAAAAAAGACCCUGUACAAUACCGAGGAUUCAAUUGAUUGAGGCAUUGCAAACUUUUCAAAACCAAUCUGUUCUCUGUAGGCUCAUGACUCUGCAAGUAAUUCCAGCCCAUAUGCAGCUUCCUCAAUUGUGGCAUCGUCAAAAUUUCCGAUGGUAAUAUGAAAGGAUAACUACUAUUGGGAAAUGGAAGGUAAAGUUUAAAAGUUUGCAGAUAGCAUAGGCUUGAUAUCGAUAGAGGAAUGUCUAUUAUUGAUGAGGGAACAGCUUCUUUCGAUCCUCGAUACUGCUUUAAGCAAGGCUUAAAACACAAAGAUAGGUAUCUCAAAUGAAAUAGAGAAAGUACUCCACUGGGAAAAAAUGGGCAUAUAGUCAAACCAAGAUCUAGUACUCUUACUAGCUUGAAAGACAAUGCCAGUGUGACGCAUUUGAAUCCACCCAACAUGAUAAUAGAAUGAGCCUCACUGCUACAACACCAAACCAAUUUUUUCUCAUUAUGGAUUCUGAUCCGAUUUCGACUCUUAAAGGAACACUGCAUGGAUUGUUCACAUGAAUUUUGAUAACUCUUUCCUCUGAUAACAUUCACAAAAUUCAUGUUUCGAGCUUCCCUCAAACAGAGUUCACGGGUCACAUCAUGCAUUCCACAACUUUCUAUUGUUCCACGAAAACUAAAAUUGUGGAUGAAAAUUAAGCUUCUAUCUAUAAGUUCAUUUAUACAUGUUGUUGCCACCUCUUCUAUGCUUUUUCCCUCUUCUUCAUUCAAAAACCCCUCUACGGCCCAUAAUUCAACAAGUUUAUUUACAUAAAUCUGUUCAUCCUCUGCGAAAAUUGCAAAAUACAGAAAACACGGUUUUAGGUGAGAAGGCAAGUGAUGGUAACUCAAAGCCAACACUCUCAUGCACUUUGCUUCAAGAUCUGUGCUUACCACUGAACUUACAUUCUCCGCAACAUAUUGCCACACACCCAAUGUUUUACUGAUUUUGGAGAGAAGUCCAGCAAUCACAGUAAUUGCUAGAGGUAACCCUCCACAUUUUAAUGCAAUUUGUUUCCCAAUAUUUUCAAAUUCAGGAGAAUAAGAACCUUCUUUUUCAAAGAUCUUUUUGUGUAGUAAAUUCCAACUUUCGUCAAAAUUCAUGAGGCGCAUGUGAUGAGGAGGCUUACCUGACCUAGCACAUUCAGCCACUUCCACAUUCCGAGUAGUCAGGAGUAUUCUGCUUCCAUUAUAACAGUCUGGGAAACAUAGUUUUAUAUCAUCCCAAGCUUCUGUAGUCCAUAUGUCAUCAAUGACUACCAAGUAUCUCCUGCCUUUCAGAUGCUUCUGCAAUCGGUCCGCUAGCUGAUCAUCAGGUUCAUCACUUAUCGAAGGAAGAAGGCCUAGGAUUACAUUUCUCACACAAUACUCUUGUGAAACAGUUGCUUUUGCACGAAUAUCAAAUCGAGACAUAAUGUAAGGAUCACUAUAGAGUUUUGUAGCCAAAGUUGUUUUCCCGAUACCUCCCAUCCCUACGAUUGAGACAACUUCUAGUUCCCUUCCUCCUCUAGCAAGUUGAUCCAGCAUCAUCUCAAAUUCAUUUUCACGGCCAACCAUUAUAUUCUCGGGCUGCUCAACAGCAUGUUCAGGUAAACUGACAAGUGAGCUAGUUUGUGGUUUUAGAUCUUUCAUGCUGUCCGAUGCUGCCAUCCACUGUUUCACGGUGGAAGCAAUGCAUUCUAGUGCUUGUUCCAAGACGAAAAAAAUCUCCCACAUAGCCCUGCUUCUUUCCUCCAAAUUCUGUGCUAAAAAAACAUUUCUUGAUUCCGAGUCAACCAUAUCUUCUGUUGUGUAUGCUACCUCUGCGAUUUCAACUUCCAAGAUUGUUAACCCCUCAUGAUCGCCCAUUAUAUUGCAGGAUUUCUCCAGAAUAGCUCUCAAAGAUUUGAGCUUUUCAUAAAACGGUUGCAAAUCACAUCCAGUAAGUUCCAUUGAUUGAUGUAUGGUUCUCAUAAGGGAAGUAACAGCAGCAUAAGCCAUAUAUCCAAAAAAUAGAAAUAUCUCUCAGUAUGAAAAUGGACAAAUUGCCACAAGUUAUGUAAUUUUUCAGUUUUUAAGAAAACAGAAAAUGCAAAGUUCUUUCUUUUACUAGCUAUUUCCAUCACAUUUCCAGCUAGGUCCACCAACCUUAUCAUCAUGUAGACAAAAGCAGAGACCAAAGUUAAAAAAAAAAGAAAAAAGGCAGGACUCUAACAGGAAAAAGUAGAAAAAAUUGUGACCAUUCAUUAUUAGACCCUACACUUAUCUAUUCAUGAAUAUAGGUAUGUUUCUUACAUACAAGAGAUUGAUGAUUUUAAUUCCAUUGAAAGCAACUUCGUAGAAUUUUCCAAAUCAAAGAGAGAGAAAUAUUAAGAUCCAAGUAGGAAUUUCUCUAUUCCUAGUUCGAUUCAAUUAACCAAGCAUAAAUAUCUCUUUAAAUAUAUAUGAGAAGUUUAGACUCUAAAAGUCAAAUCAACAAAAUAUUUAUGGGCUAACACAUGAAAAACUAUUGAGAAAAUUGCCUAAUUUCUGUAAAUUGGCCCUUAAAUCUCCAAAAUGGACUCUAAAAAUUGUCAGACUGUACGUAUUGCUCCCAACUCCCUACUAAGGGUUCUGUAAUUUCGAUUAGAAUUCGCCCGUAAGUCAUAUCACCAAUAUAUUAAUGACUAACACACACGAAAAACUAAGAAAAUUGUCUAAUUUCUUGAAAUUGGCCCCUAAAUGCCUAAAAUGGACUCUAAAAAAUUGUCAGACUGUACGUAUUGCUCCCAACUACCUACUAAGGGUUCUGUAAUUUCGAUUAGAAUUCGCCCGUAAGUCAUAUCACCAAAAAUAUUAAUGGGCUAACACACACAAAACACUGAGAAAGUCGCCUAUUCCUGUAAAUUGGCCCCUAAAUGCCCAAAAUGAACUCUAAAAUUGUGAGACUAUGUACUGCUCCACUAACUCCCUAUGGAGGGUUCCGUAAAGAUUUCACAAAGAAAUUAUUCGGAAGAUAUAUCACCAAAAUAUUUAUGGGCUAAUACAUUUUUAUUUGUCCAUUUGAUUUGAUAUAUCUUUCAAGUACUUUGAUCCGGUUAUACUUUUUUUUUAUUGCUAAAAAUAAAUAUCCACUUUUACUUGUUCAUUCUACAAAACAAAGACAAUAUUUUAUUGCUUGAUUCAGAUAUAAAAUUUGAGUAGGCUAAUUUACAAACCAUCUGUAGUCAUCCUGCCCCUAUGCUAUAACAUUUGAAAGAAAGAGGUCAUCAUCAUCAUAUUCAUCAUCGUUGUCAUCUUCAUCUUCAUCUUCAUCAUCAUCUUCAUCUUCAUCAUCAUCUUCAUCAUCAUCUUCAUCUUCUUCAUCAUUAUCAUCAUCAUCAUCAUGAUCGUCAUCGUCACUUGUUUCCUCACUGUUGAAAAAGCCAGCAACAAAAGAUGAAAAAUGAAAUGUUAUGCAAGUAUAACAAGUUACACAAUUACUAUAUUGGAAGGAUUUAAAUCAUAUACAAUGACAACGUAUGAACUUUUACACUAUAGGUGCCAUUUAACUGCUUAUUAAAGCAACUUAUAAUUAUUUUAUUACUAGUUCUGGACACAUGCUUUGCAUGUGUAUAUUACACGUUUAGUCACGAUUGUAAGAGGGUGUACACCAGGAUCAUUCGAAGAGCAAAGUCGUGUGAGCCUUACAGAUAUUCUUGACGUACUCCUAUUAAAAUCUGUAUCAUAAUAUCUGAUGAAAUCAGCUACUGAUCAGUCAAGCUCUCCAUUGAUGUAGACUUCAACUACACAUGAGAAAGAAUGAGAGAAGAAGAGAGAAGAGAAGAGAAGAAGAAUCUAGAAGAGCAACAUGAAAAUUAAUCUCUCAUUGAAUGUGAAUUAAAACUACAAGAAUUACAAUGUGACUAUAUAUAUAUAAUCACUGGCAGAAAUUAACUAACUAACAAACUUGAUUCUAACUAACUCUACUGUACAUAGAUUCUAACUAACUCUACUGUACAUAACCGACUCUACUGUACAUAACUAACUAAUUAUACUUUAUAUUCUCAUCACCCCCCCUCAAGUUGGAGGUGAUGUAAUUACAGACAACUUGUGCAAUAAGGCAGUAUGUUUAACUCCAGUCAGAGCCUUGGUGAAGAUGUCUGCCAACUGUGAAUCAGUGGGAAUAUGAUGGAGUGUGAUUAGGCCUUGUUGAAGCUUGGUCCUAACAAAGUGACAAUCGAUUUCUAUGUGCUUUGUCCUCUCAUGAAAAACUGGAUUCUUUGCAAUGUGGACUGCUGCUUGACUGUCACAAUGGACAGGGAUAGGUAAGGAGCAUUGUACAGUCAACUCAUCCAACAAUCGUUCAAGCCACACUAGUUCUCCUACAACUUGUCUCACAGCUCUAUAUUCAGCUUCAGCAGAUGACAAAGACACUGUUGCUUGCUUCUUAGACUUCCAGCUGACAGGACUAUCACCCAGAAGCACUAGGUAUCCACUAACAGACUUCCUGGAAUCAGGGCAAGCAGCCCAAUCAGAAUCACAAUAAGCACUGAUAGUGAGAUCAGGCUUGUUUGAGAUAAAAAUUCCCAAUGUUGGAUCCUGUUUCAAAUAUCUGAGCACAUGGUAUGCUGCUUUUAAAUGUGGUUCCCUAGGUGAUUGCAUAAAUUGGCUCAAGUGUUGUAUACUAUAAGCUAUGUCCAUUCUAGUGUUGGUCAAAAAAUUUAGCUUACCAACCAACUUCCUGUAUUGAGUAGGAUCAGAUAAAAGAUUGCCAUCUGUAGCUGUUAACUUCUCAGUGCAAUCAAGUGGUGAUGUAGUGGCCUUGUGACUUAACACAUCAAAAUCUUUCAGGAGAUCAGAAGUGAAUUUCCUUUGUGAAACUAGCACUCCAUCAUGUCUGUAUAAUAUUUCCAGUCCCAGAAAGUAGUGUAGUUUGCCCAAAUCCUUUAUCUUGAACUGAUCAUUUAAGAAGCUCUUUAAGGAGUUGAUUUCAGCCACAUCUGUUCCAGUUAGAAUUAUGUCAUCCACAUAUACAGCAACAAACACCAAGGAGCAGCCCUUCCUUUUGUAGAACAGUGAGUAAUCACUGUCUGAGUGCUGAUACCCUCUUGAACAUAGACAGUUUGCCAACUUCUCAUACCAUUGCCUGCUGGCCUGUUUUAGUCCAUACAAAGACUUCUUCAAUUUGCACACCAUGUUAUCACAACCUACUACAAGACCUUGUGGAGGUGCCAUGUACACUUCCUCAUGCAAAUCACCAUGUAAGAAUGCAUUAUUGACAUCUAGCUGAUACAAGCUCCAAUCUUUCUUAACAGCUAAAGAGAUUAAUGUUCUAACAGUAGUCAUUUUAACUACAGGUGAGAAGGUUUCAGUGUAAUCUACCCCAACUUGUUGUGUAUAACCUUUGACCACCAACCUACACCCCAGCUUGUUGUGUAUAACCUUUGACCACCAGCCUAGCCUUGAACCUCUCCACACUCCCAUCAGCUUUGUGCUUGAUUUUGUACACCCACUUGCACCCAAUAGCUUUCUUCCCAUCAGGUAACAUGACCAUCUCCCAAGUGUCAUUAGCAUACAAAGCUUCAAACUCCUGUGUCAUGGCCUGCUGCCAGGCAGGGUGCAAUAUUGCUUCCUCAAAUGAAAUAGGCUCACAUUCAUGUGAAAUGGUUGUUACUAACUGCUGACUAUCAGAACAAAGACUGGUGAAACAUACAUGUUUAUGGGGAGAUAUAAAGGAAGUGAGGGAGUGCAGCUUAGGUAUAGUGUAGGUGUAUUCUUUUAGGUAAUUAGGAGUGUGUAUGGUUCUGGUUGUUCUUCUAGGUGCUGAUAUUGUAGGUACUGGUAAAGUAUCAUGAUGCAUGGUGGCAUUUGGAUCAGGUAAGGUAGGUUGAGUUGUAGUAGGUUGAGUUGUAGGUUCAUGUAGGACAGCAGGUGGUACUUCAUUCAUGUUGGUAUUACUGGUUACUUGAUUAUUAGUGACUUCAUGUGGUGUGAAAUUUUCCAGUUGAUCAUCAUUAGCAAAAAUGUUCAUUUUACCAGACAUACAAGGCAUGCUAGUGGUAUGAGUAAGCAUUUGCAGAAUGGAAUUGAAACUAGAACCAUCAGGGGCAAUAACAAAAGGAAAAAUAUUUUCUUGAAAAAUAACAUCUCUUGAUAUAUGAACUUUCUUGGUAGCUAAAUUCAAAACUUUGUAACCUUUUGUAUUGAAAGGGUAACCAACAAAAACAUGAGGUGUGGUUCUAGGUUCAAAUUUAUCUUUGUGAGUUUUCAAGGUAGUGGGGAAACAAAGACAACCAAAACUCUUAAGGUGGGAAUAUGUAGGUGAUUUAUGGUACAACAUUUCAUAUGGAGAUUUAUUCUGUAAAAGUUGAGUGGGCAGUCUAUUAAUCAGGUAUGUGGCAGUCAAUACACAUUCCCCCCAGUACCUCAUAGGCAACUUUGACUGAAACAAAAGUGCCCUUGCUGUUUCAAGUAGGUACUUAUGUUUCCUUUCUACCACCCCAUUUUGUUGAGGUGUAUAAGGACAAGUUCUUUGGUGUAUGAUACCUUGUUUUGGAAGAAAUUUGUGGCUUCAGCUGAAGUAAACUCUAACCCAUUGUCAGAUCUUAUGGCUUUUUAACUUGGUUUGGAAUUGGUUUUCUAUGAGAGAUAUGAAGGCUUUGAUAGUUUGGAGAGCAUUACUCUUACAUCUCAGCAAUUGUGUCCAAGUGGACCUACUGUGGUCAUCUACCAUAGUGAGGAAAUAAUGAUAUCCAUCAUGAGUGGGAACAUGAUAUGGUCCCCAUAGGUCAACAUGUAACAACUCAAACACUUUAGUGGUGGUGGUGAUACUUUCUGGAAAAGGCAUCCUAGUUUGCCUAGCCAUAGGGCAUAUAUUGCAAGUAAAAGGCUGUUUAGGAGAAAAAUGAACAGGUAUAGUUGAGAUAUUUUUCAUUUUUACAAAAGGUACAUGUCCUAAUCUAGCAUGCCACAAAAGUUCAUCAUCAUGAGUGUGAUUAGAGACAUUUGUAAAUGAAGGACAAGCAUGAGUAAAACAAGAGGAAGGAAAAACAGUACAAUCUGCCUUAUUCAUAGGAGAGUAUUUUACAGAAGAACCAGUGGACACAUUAGAAUCUGAAACCCUGCUAGUAUUGCCUAAAGAAGAGACAAGAGGACAAUUAACAUGAGGUGCUUUACUCUCAGCAGAUGGACAACAAUUGUGGCAUUUGUGACACAAGAAGUACAGGCCAUUCUUGGCUUUACCAAGUUCCAGAGGGCUCUUCAGAGAAGGGCCCUGCAGCAAACAAGAAGAUUUGUCAAAGCUGACUACACCAUUGAAUUGUAGUGCUAAACAAUGAACAGAAAUGAGAUUAAACUUGAAGCUAGGUACAAACAACACUUUGCUUAGAGUCAAAGCUGGAUUUAAACAAGCAUCACCAAUUUCAGUCACUUUAACCUUGUAACCAUUAGGGAGUGAAAUUAGAAAGGGAUAUGGAAGUGAAAUGAUGUUUGUGAGGGUGGUCUUAUCAUAGGUCAUAUGGUGUGAUGCUCCUGAAUCUAUGAUCCAAGAGCCAGCAGUCAGUUUAACACAUUUACAAGAAAGAUCACCUAUAUCAGUAAUAGAGGAAUAACAUGCAAGUAUACCUGCCAAGUUCACAGCUCCAUUCAGCAUGUUGUUUGAGUUGUCUGAGGCUCCAUUUCCAACUUGUAAAGUUCCCAGGAGAUUGAGUAGUUGUUCAUAUUGAUCUUUGGACAAGUUCAAUGGCAUUUGUCUCCUUACUUCAGGUUCCUCUUCAGAUUGAACUCCAUUCAUAUCAGGGGCACACACAUUUGCUGCAGCUUUUCCCUUUUUGAACCUUGGAUUUGGAUUGGAUGGGUAUCCAUGAAGCUUGUAACAUCUAUCCUUUGUGUGUCCUGAUUUCUUACAGUAGUCACAAAACAAAGAAGACUUGCCAGUGCUAGAAUUGCCUCUAAACCCAGUAUUACCAGAAUUGGUUCCACCUCCUCCAGAUGAACUGUAGUUUGUCCGGAAUCCCCUGUAUCCUGCACUGCUGUUGGUCUGUCCAUAAGCAUUGAGAGAGGUAGAAUCCAAGGCUGUAUGAUUAUGAGGCUUCACCUCCCUUUGUUUUUCCUCUUGGGAUAAUAUGGCAAAAGCUUGAGCCAUGCUUGGAAGUGUGUUCAUCAUGAGAAUGCUGCCUCUGACAGUCGUAUAUAUCUCAUUCAAUCCCAUUAGAAAAUGUAUCAAUCUUCUGUCUUGUUCAGCCUUGUGUAAUUUGCUUUUACCCCCACAAAUGCACACACAAGUACACUGAGAAUUGACAUCAAUGGUACUCAUUUCCUCCCACAACUUCUUCAUUCUUGUGUAAUAUCCAGUGAUGUCUAAAGUGCCUUGGACCAGAUCAUUAAUUUCCUUCUGCAGUUGAUACAAUUUACACCCAUUGGUUUGAUCGUACCUUUCUUCUAGUUCUCCCCAAAGCUCCUGAGCAUUAUUGACAUACUGCAGACUAUCACGCAAAUCUGGUGACAAGGAAUUCAGGAUCCAAGAUGUGACCAUAUCAUCACACCUUUCCCAUUGCUGAAAGCUAGGAUCAGUAGGAUCAGGUCUCACAACCUUCCCAUUAAUGAAUCCUGUCUUGCUCUUAACAGAUAAAGCCCUGAGAACUGCUCUUCUCCAGGAUCUGUAACCAGUUCCAUCAAAAACUGCAGGUAAUAGGGAUGAACUUGCAUUCUCAGAUGGAUGCAAGUAGAAAGGACUAGGGAUUUCUACCCUAACAGUGGAUGCAGAAGCAUUUGGAAUGGAAUCAUUUGAAGAAUCGACCAUUGUGAAUUGAAAAUUGGGAAGAAGAUCAAGUCGAGAACAACCAGAUCAAACAGCGUUCACAAACAAAAUUGACAGAUCGAAGAUCCAGUCGAGAUCAACCAGAUCAAAGAAAAAAUUCACAUAAGAGAAAACGAAGCUCACAGAUUGAAUUGGAAACAAAAAAAAACAGGAGCAAUUCCCUGUGCUUUGAUACCAUGAUGAAAUCAGCUACUGAUCAGUCAAGCUCCUCCAUUGAUGUAGCUUCAACUCACAUGAGAAAAGAUGAGAGAAGAAGAGAGAAGAGAAGAGAAGAAGAAUCUAGAAGAGCAACAUGAAAAUUAUCUCUCAUUGAAUGUGAAUUAAAGAAGUGAGUAUUACAAUGUAUCUGUAUAUAUACACAAUCACUAAGCAACUAAUAAUCAUUGGCAGAAAUUAACUAACUAACAAACUUGAUUCUAACUAACUCUACUGUACAUAACCGACUCUACUGUACAUAACUAACUAAUUAUACUUUAUAUUCUCAUCAAUAUCCCUUUUUUCAAAUUUCAUAGCUGAACUACUAGGUGUGCGAGUUCCUACCAGAACUAUUACCAACUAUUUAUCAAAACACACAUCAACUAUAUAUGAGUUGUUCCCUUUUACUAGUGGUGAAAAAUAGGUGGAUUUGGACGGGACUGAAAAUGGAUUGAGCAACAUGGUCGUAACUCACUUUAAUCUCUUAAAGCCAGAAAACUUUAAAGAGUUAAUUGAAAUAAACUUAAUGACUAUCCUACUUGAAGUAUCACCAUCGUUCAGGUAAGAAAAAGGAAGUAAAUCAAGGAAGACGAUGUCUUACAAAGCCUGAUGGAUAUGGACCUCGAUAGAACCUCCAUAGUUGUCUUGAAUGUCCUGUUGAAUCUGCUUUGCGGAAUUCCCAACAGAUUCUGGGCAGUUUCUUAUAUCAAUUAGAGCAAGUGUGGUUAUAUCUGCAAAAUCUUGAGGGAUUGAGUCCAAAAACCUGCAACUAUCAAGAAAUAGUCGUUCAAGGCACGGAAAGUGAUCACAACUAGCUCUCCAGUACUGAAUAUGUGAUCUUUUAAGUAACAAGAACUUCAAAAAAGGAAACCCUUCCUCAGCUACUUCCCACUCCCUGCCUCUGCAUACACCCUGUGUUAGUUCAAGAAGUUCAAGUUUGGGCAAUUUUCCGACAACAAUGCUUAAAUCCUUCCAUGACAAGAAGAAAUUUCCUGUAAAAGUUAAAUUCUUAAGGUUUCGUGGAAAAGCAUCUGGAGGAGGUAAGAUCAAAGAUGGAACAACUUCUACAACAAGUGGAUUCCUUGUCUGAAAACACAUUCUCCUCUCCAAAAAGUAAGCAUUAUUUUGAGGAGGAAGACAAAAUGCUAGUUCCUCGAGAUGAUCUAAGUAGCGAAAAUCAUAGAGGUCUUUGUGACUAUGGAAGUCUUGUGGGAUGCCACGUACUUGCAACUCCUUUAAAUUGGGAAAUAGUCUAAAGAAAGAUGCAGUACAAUAGCUAGGAUUCCAUCCAAACAGAGAAUGUAAAUUUUUCAUAACCAAACUUUUCUCUGUAAGCUCAUGAUAUCGCAAGUAAUUCCGAUCCAAAUGAAGGUGCCUCAACUGUGGCAUAGUCAAAAUUUCUGAUGGUAAUAUCAAAGCAUGUUUACGAAGAUUAAUAACGAGUGGAAGGUAAAGUACCAAACUUUGCAGAUAGCAUAGGUUUGAUAUGGAUGUAGGAAUGUCUACUCUUGAUGAGAGAACAUCUUCUUCGGAUCCUAGAUAUUGCUCAACGUUAGGAUAAAUACGCAAAGCUAGGUGUCUUAAGUGAAUCAAAUAAAGUAUUUCACGGGGAAAAGUUAGACAGAUAUUAUCAGCAAGAUCUAGAACUCUUACUAGCUUGAACGGCAAGUACUCCCUCAUGCAACAUCGGAAUCUACCAAAUAAGAUAACAGAAUGAGCUUCACUGUUAAGGCACCUAACAUACUCUUUCUUAUUAUGGAUGCUGAUUCGACCUCGACUCUUAGACAAACACUGCAUAGAUUUCACACAUGGAUUUUGAUCAUUCUUACUUCCGAGAACAUUCACAAAAUUCAUGUUACGAGCUUCCAUCAUACAGAGUUCACGAGUCGUAUCAUGAAUUCCACAACACUUAAUUUUUCCAUCAAAAGUAGUACUUUCUAUGGAAAUUAAACUUCUAUCAAUAAGAUCUUGUAGGUACUUUUCUGCCACUUCUUCUAUGCUUUUCAUCUCUUCUACCUUCAAAAAUCCCUCUGUUUCCCACAAUAUCAUAAGUUUAUUGACAAAAAUCAGUUUAUCCUCUGGGAAGAUUGCGAAAUAUAAAAAGCAUGGUUUUAGGUGGUGAGGCAAGUAAUGGUAACUCAUUGCCAACACCCUCAUGCAUUGGACACCAACAUCUGUGCUUACUGCUGAACUUACAUUUUCAGCAACACUUUGCCACUCACUCAAUGCUUUGUCAAUUUUAGUGAGAAGUCCCGCGAUCACAACAAUUGCUAGAGGCAAUCCUCCGCAUUUCAAUGCAAUUUGCUUUCCAAGUUGUUCAUAUUCAGGGGAGAAAGAGUCUUUCGUAAAGACUUUUUCAUACAAUAAACUCCAACUUUCGUCAAAAUUCAUGAGGCGCAUGUGAUAAGGAGGCUUACCUGAGCUAGCAUAUUCAGCCACUUCCACAUUCCGAGUAGUCAAGAGUAUUCGGCUUCCAUUAUGAAAGUCUGGGAAACAUAUUUGUAUAUCAUCCCAAGCUUUUGUAGUCCAUAUGUCAUCAAUGACUACCAAAUAUCUCUCACCUUUUAGAAGCUUUUGUAGUCGAUCUGCUAGUUGCCCGUCAUGUAGCUGAUCAUAAGGUUUAUCACUUAUACAAGAAAGAAGGUCUAGGAAAACAUUUCUCACACAAUACUCUUGUGAAACAGUAGCUUUAGCACGAAUGUCAAAACGAUACAUCAUGCAUGGAUCGUUGUAGAGUUUCGUAGCCAAAGUUGUCUUGCCAAUGCCUCCCAUACCUACAAUUGAUACAACUGCUAGUUCUCUUUCUCCUCUAGCAAGUUGAUCCAGCAUCAUCUUGAAUUCAUUUUCAUAGCCAACCAUUAUAUCCUCGGACCGCUCAACAGCACGUUCAGGUAUCUUGGAUAGACAAAAAUUUUGUGCUUUGAAAUCUUUAAAGUUGUUGUACCAGUCCCAUAUUGCCAACCACUGCAUCAUGAAGGAAUCAAUGCAUUCUACCUCUUGUUCCAAGGAACAACAGAGUUCCCAGAAAGCUUUGCUUCGUGUAAUUACAGUUUCUGCGGAAGAAACUUUUCUUGAUUUCGAAUCAACCAUGUCUUCUGCUUUGUAUGCUACCUCCGCGAUUUCAACUUCCAAGGUUGUUAACCCCUCAUGAUCUCCCGUUAUAUUGCAGGAUUUCUCCAUAAUAGCUCUCAAAGAUUCAAGCUUUUCAUAGAAUGGUUGCAAAUCACAUCCAGUAAGUUCCAUUGACUGGUGUAUGGUUCUCAUAAGGGAAGUAACAGCAGCAUAAGCCAUAUAUCCAAAAAAUAGGAAUCUCUCACACUCAGUAUGAAAAUGGACAAAUUAAUUGCCACAAGUUAUGUAAUCUUUCUUUUACUAACUAUUUCCAUCACAUUUCUAGCUAGGUCCACUAACAGGUAAAGUAGAAAGAUGUGAGGUCCCUAACCUUAUCAUCAUGUAGACAAAAGAAGAGACCAAAGUUUUUAAAAAAAAGACAGGAAAAAGUAGAAAAAUUUGUGAUCAUUCAUUAUUAGACCCUACACUAAUCUCUUUAGAAAAAUAAACUAAAAUUUUAGUUUAAAUAAAGGAGUUCAAGCUGUAUAUUGAUAACGCCCAAUUCAAAUUCAAGUGUAGUACGGUCUAGCAAUAAUAAACUCAACAAAUGUUGGGGUCGAGGAGUAUGCUUGUGUCAAGGUGACAGAGAAUGCGAAUUUGCGAAUUUCCUAAGCUUAUCUACAAAUAAAAGGUCUUUCUUUUAGCUAGGUCCAUAAUCCAUGUAGUGCUCUCUACUCUCUAGUCUCUAUCAACCAACUCAAGUUUAAGGGUGUGUUUGGUAUGGAGGAAACAUUUUCUCUAGAAUAGGGAGAGUUUUGUGCAUAAACAAAGAAGAAUAUCUCAGUAUAACAGUGAAUGUGUAUUUUUUUUAUGAUUUGCUUCAUUUGAGUAUGACUUUUGUAAGAAAAUUCUGGUAAAAGUUUAAAAAAUGAUCUUGUGGAAUAAGCACAGUGAAUUCCUUAAUAUUCGAGUAGAAAAAGCCAGGGAGGAUAACAUUGCUAUUUGUACACUUAUCGUGACACGAGUAGUCUCUUAAAUAUUACACCUUUCUACUGGUGUUGCUGGUGCCACUGAAUUUAGCCUUCCGUCUUCCUUUGCGAGGUAGAUUGAGGACUCCCAAGAAAGGAAACACAAGGUACUGGAGUCUGUUCCGGCCUCUACAGUAUGUAUGUACAUAAAAUUUGGAGUAACUAAAAAACCACUGACAAAUGGCUAUACGAAAGAUCAUAUACAAUUUAAUUACAAGCCAUUUGCAAUCAUCCUGCCCCUUUAUGCAGAAUCUUUUCAAAGAAAAUGAAAACAAACACUCACACAUUUGGCUUCUGAUUGACAUUUAUUUCAGAGAACUGGCUAGUCCUCAGAACACCUUAACUACUCGCUGCAGAAAAAAAAAGACGCAAAAAAUGGAAAAUAAUAUGUUAGAUGUCCCAUAAUUAAGGAACAGGAGAACAUUAUAGCAAGAAUGAGCAUGCAGGUAUAAGAACUUACACAUUAUUGCGGCAAGAAGCAACUUCUUUCUCAAAGUCAAUAUCAUCAUCUUCAUCUAUUGUUACACUACAUCGAAAAUGCUUGCUACAAAAGAUGAAAAAUGAAAUGUUACACUUCCCAAAAUCAAGAAUGAGCAUGCAAGUAUAACAACUUACACAAUAUUGGAAGGAUUCGAAUCAAUCACAAUGACAGCAUCAAGAACUUUUGUUGAAUUGGUGUAAUUUGACUUACUAAAGCUAUUAUCCAGAUUAUUAUCGAGUUUACUAUAAUGAUGAGUUAAAUAUUGUUGUAAAUCAAGGAAGAAGAUGUACUUACUAAAGAUUACGAGUAUGGACCUCGAUAGAGCUUCCAUAGUUGUCUUGAAUGUCCUGUUGAAUUUGCUUGGCGGAAUUCCCAACAGAUUGUUGACAGUAACUUAUAUCAAUAAGAGCUAGUGUGGUUAUAUCUGCAAAAUCUCGAGGGAUUGAAUCCAAAUAAUAGCAACUUCUAAGAAAAAGUCGUUCAAGGUACGGAAAGUGAUCACUACUAGCUCUCCAGUACCGAAUGCAUACUUCAUGCAGAAACAAGAACUUCAAGUGAGGAAACCCUUCCUCAACUACUUCCCACUCCUCGCCUAUGAAGGAUUUCCAUGAUAGUUUAAGGACCUCGAGUUUGGGUAAUUUACCAACAAUGCUCAAAUCCUUCCAUGCCAAAAAGAAUUCUCCGCUAAAAGUUAAACUCUUAAGGUUUUGUGGAAAAGCAUCCGGAGGAGGUAAGCGUAAAGUUGAAACAUCAGUUGGAGGUGCAGUUGCCCUGAAAGGUAAGAGUAAACUUGUAUAAAGUUGAACAACUAGCCACAUGAGUCCUACAUGACACAAUACACAUAAGACACCAACUAUUUCCAUCACAUUUCCAGCUAGGUCCACUAACAGGAUAAAGUAGAAAGAUGUGAGGUCACUAACCUUAUCAUCAUGUAGACAAAAGAAGAGACCAAAGUUAAAAAAAAAAAAGACAGGAAAAAGUAGAAAAAUUUGUGAUCAUACAUUAUUAGACCCUACACUAAUCUCUUUAGAAAAAUAAGUUUCAAUAAAGGAGUUCAAGCUGUAUAUUGAUAACGUCCAAUUCAAAUUCAAGUGUAGUACGGUCUAGCAAUAAUAAACUCAACAAAAGUUGGGGUCGAGGAGUACACUUGUGUCAAGGUGACAGAGAGUGUUCUGGCCUAUACAGUAUGUAUGUAUGUACAUAAAAUUUGGAGUAUCUAAAGAACCACUGACAAAUGGCUAUACGAAAGAUCAUAUACAAUUAAAUUACAAGCCAUUUGCAAUCAUCCUGCCACCUUAUGCAGAAAAAAUGAAAAUUCUGAUUUGACAUUUAUUUCAGAGAACUGGCUAGUCCUCAGAACACCUUAACUACUCGCUGCAGAGAAAAAAAAAAGACACAAAAAAUGGAAAAUAAUAUGUUAGAUGUCCCAUAAUUAAGGAACAAGAGAACAUUAUAGCAAGAAUGAGCAUGCAGGUAUAAGAACUUACACAUUAUUGCGGCAAGAAGCAACUUCUUUCUCAAAGUCAUCUUCAUCUGUUGUUAUAUCGAAAAUGCUUUCUACAAAAGAUGAAAAAUGAAAUGUUACACUUCCCAAAAUCAAGAAUGAACAUGCAAGUAUAACAAGUUACACAAUAUUGGAAGGAUUCAAAUCAAACACAAUGACAGCAUCAAGAACUUUUGUUGAAUUGGUGCAAUUGGACUUACUAAAGCUAUUAUCCAGAUUAUUAUCGAGUUUACUAUGAUGAUGAGUUAAAUAUUGUUGUAAAUCAAGGAAGAAGAUGUCUUACAAAAGAUGACGAGUAUGGACCUCGAUAGAGCUUCCAUAGUUGUCUUGAAUGUCCUGUUGAAUUUGCUUGGCGGAUUUCCCAACAGAUUGUCGACAGCUACUUAUAUCAAUAAGAGCUAGUGUGGUUAUAUCUGCAAAAUCUGGAGGGAUUGAAUCCAAAUCAUAGCAAUUUCUAAGAAAAAGUCGUUCAAGGUACGGAAAGUGAUCACUACUAGCUCUCCAGUACCGAAUGUAUAUGUUAUCCAGAAACAAGAACUUCAAGUGAGGAAACCCUUCCUCAACUACUUCCCACUCCUCGCCUAUGACGGCAUUGUCUGAUAGUUUAAGGACCUCGAGUUCGGGUAAUUUACCAACAAUGCUCAAAUCCUUCGAUGCCAAAAAGAAUUCUCCGCUAAAAGUUAAACUCUUAAGGUUUUGUGGAAAAGCAUCCGGAGGAGGUAAGAGUAAAGUUGGAACAUCAGCUGGAGGUGCAGCUUUCCCGAAUUGUGUCUUUUUGUACAAUAAUUUCGUCUGAAACCUCAGAGGAUCUUGCGGAGUAGAACCUGAAGGUGCAGUGCUUUCUAGAACGCAAGCAGCACCUGGAUAAUAAACACGAAAUGCCAAUUUCUCGAGCUGAUAUAAGUAGCGAAAAUCAUACAGGUCCUUGUGAUUGCGAAAGUCCUCUUGGACGCCAAAUACUUUCAACUUCUUUAAAUUGGGAAAUAGUCUAAAAAAAGACCCUGUACAAUUCCGAGGAUUCAAUUGAUUGAGACAUUGCAAACUUUUCAAAACCAAUCUGUUCUCUGUAGGCUCAUGACUCCGCAAGUAAUUCCAGCCCAUACGCAGCUUCCUCAAUUGUGGCAUCGUCAAAAUUUCCGAUGGUAAUAUGAAAGGAUAACUAUCGGUAAAUGGAAGGUAAAGUUUAAAAGUUUGCAGAUAGCAUAGGCAUGAUAUCGAUAGAGGAAUGUCUAUUAUUGAUGAGGGAACAGCUUCUAUCGAUCCUCGAUACUGCAGUAAGCAAGGAUUAAAACACAAAGAUAGGUAUCUCAAAUGAAUUAGAGAAAGUACUCCACUGGGAAAAAUUGGGCAUGGAGUCCAACCAAGAUCUAGUACUCUUACUAGCUUGAAAGACAAUUCCAGUGUGAUGCAAUUGAAUCCACGCAACAUGAUAAUAGAAUGAGCCUCACUGUUACGACACCAAGCCAAUUCUUCCUCCUUAUAGAUACUGAUCCGACUUCGCUUCUUAAAGGAACACUGCAUGGAUUGUGCACAUGAAUUUUGAUCACUCUUUCCUCUGAUAACAUUCACAAAAUUCAUGUUUCGAGCUUCCCUCAAACAGAGUUCACGGGUCACAUCAUGCAUUCCACAGCUCUGUAUUUCCCCAUCAAAACUCAAUUUGUGGAUAGAAAUUAGACUUCUAUCUACAAGUUCGUUUAUACAUGUUUCUGCCACCUCUUCUAUGCUUUUUCCCUCUUCUUCAUUCAAAAACCCCUCUACGGCCAAUAACUCAACAAGUUUAUUUACAAAAAUCCGUUCAUCCUCUGCGAAAAUUGCAAAAUACAGAAAACACGGUUUUAGGUGAGAAGGCAAGUGAUGGUAACUCAAAGCCAACACUCUCAUGCAUUGUGCUUCAGGAUCUGUGCUUACCACCGAACUUACAUUCUCCGCAAUUCUUUGCCACUCAUCUAAUCUUUGACCGAUUUUGGAGAGAAGUCCAGCAGUCACAGUAAUUGCUAGAGGUAAUCCUCCACAUUUUAAUGCAAUUUGUUUCCCAAUAUUUUCAAAUUCAGGAGAAUAAGAACCUUCUUUUUCAAAGAUCUUUUUGUGUAGUAAAUUCCAACUUUCGUCAAAAUUCAUGAGGCGCAUGUGAUGAGGAGGCUUACCUGAACUAGCAUAUUCAGCCACUUCCACAUUCCGAGUAGUCAGGAGUAUUUUGCUUCCAUUAAUACAGUCCAUAUGUCAUCAAUGACUACCAAGUAUCUCCUGCCUUUCAGAUGCUUUUGCAGUCGGUCCGCUAGUUGAUUCUCAGGUUCAUCACUUAUCGAAGAAAGAAGGCCUAGGAUUACAUUUCUCACACAAUACUCCUGCGAAACAGUUACUUUUGCACGAAUAUCAAAUCGAGACAUAAUGUAAGGAUCACUAUAGAGUUUUGCAGCCAAAGUUGUUUUCCCGAUGCCUCCCAUCCCUACGAUUGAGACAACUUCUAGUUCCCUUCCUCCUCUAGCAAGUUGAUCCAGCAUCAUCUCAAAUUCAUUUUCACGGCCAACCAUUAUAUUCUCGGGCUGCUCAACAUCAUGUUCAGGUAAACUGACAAGUGAGCUAGUUUGUGGUUUUAGAUCUUUCAUGCUGUCCGAUGCUGCCAUCCACUGUUUCACGGUGGAAGCAAUGCAUUCUAGUGCUUGUUCCAAGACGAAAAAAAUCUCCCACAUAGCCCUGCUUCUUUCCUCCAAAUUCUGUGCUAAAAAAACAUUUCUUGAUUCCGAGUCAACCAUAUCUUCUGUUGUGUAUGCUACCUCUACGAUUUCAACUUCCAAGAUUGUUAACUCCUCAUGAUCGCCCGUUAUAUUGCAGGAAUUCUCCAGAAUAGUUCUUAAAGAUUCGAGCUUCUGUGUAUGCUACCUCUACAAUUUCAACUUCCAAGAUUGUUAACUCCUCAUGAUCGCCCAUUAUAUUGCAGGAUUUCUCCAGAAUAGCUCUCAAAGAUUUGAGCUUUUCAUAAAACGGUUGCAAAAUCACAUCCAGUAAGUUCCAUUGAUUGAUGUAUGGUUCUCAUAAGGGAAGUAACAGCAGCAUAAGCCAUAUAUACCAAAAAAUAGAAAUAUCUCUCAGUAUGAAAAUAGGACAAAUUGCCACAAGUUAUGUAAUUUUUCAGUUCUUAAGAAAACAGAAAAUGCAAGGUUCUUUCUUUUACUAGCUAUUUCCAUCACAUUUCUAGCUAGG